GCACGACAUCUUUGUGACAUGCUCCAGAAGUCCUUCAAUUGCUGUUUGCCAGCCCAUGACUUGUUUUCUCUACCCUUGGGCGUGGUGUUAGACUGUUGUCUUGCUCUCUCUCUCUCUCUCUCUCUCUCUCUCUCUCUCAACAUUAUGCAUAGAUACAAGGGCCAAAAAAUUGAUAGUAGCAACAACUUGCUAUUAUCAAUAAUAUUGUAACUCUCUCUCUCUCUCUCUCUCUCUCUCUCUCUAUGUAUAUAUAUAUAUAUAUAUAGAACUAGGCUAGAAUACUAUUAAUAGCACCAAGUCAUUGGUGCUAUUAGGUUUUCGGCCCCUUGGAUAAAGGGAUGUGCGAAUGUGCGGUUAGCAUGAUUGUGAUCCUUGGGUUUAUUGAGUGGUUGGUGGAAUAGUAUGAUCUAAAGGGUGGAAAUGGUUAAAGAGGUAGAUCUAAUAGCGGAAAACCUGAUAGCACCAAGUGCUUGGUGCUAUUGAUAGUAUUGUAGCCGGACUCUGUGUGUGUGUGUGUGUGUGUGUGUGUUGUUUAUCUGAAAUAGUGUUGAUAGUAAGUGAAGGCUGUUUGCUAUUAACUUUUCAGCCCUUGGGUCAAUAUGAUUCCACCUACCACUGCUAAACACUAGGCAUCCGAGAGCUAAAAAGUAAACACUAAACCCUAAACCCUUCCUCUGUUCUUCUUUGCUCUCCCUUUUCCAAGGAAAUCAAGGUACUAAUUUGAAGCGUGGCUUUAUCUUUAUGUUUUUUCCUCAAUUCUAUUUGUUUAUUGGUUUGUAUUUGUUUUCUUUUGAUUUAUUGAUUUUUUUAUUUGAAUAAACUUCAAUUUUCCUCCCUGGUAUGGCAUAUUUUCAAUUUGGUGAAUUAGAAGUUACUGUUUCAUAUAUCUAAUUGCACUUUUUUCGUCACCUGGGGCAAAGUAAGUAUAUGUGAAUUUACAGAUUUUGCAGUGGUAUGAUUUUGUAGGAAUAUGUUUCUCUUUCUUUAAUGCCUAACUCUUUUUAGCAGGGGGUCUUCCAAAUGGCAUGGUUUCGUCAAUUUUUUUUGUUCUUUUCCUUUCUGGAGGCAAUGAUGAUAAACGCCACAUCACAGAGUCGAUAAAUGCUACUAAACAUCUGUAGUUUUUGGAAUUGCUACAUGCAAUGCAUUAUCUCUCUUCAUCUUUUUUUUUUUUUUCUUUUUCUUUGAAUAUGUGUGUAUAUAUAUAUAUUUCUUGCAUCCGGUGCACCACAUUUGUUUACAACCCAAUGAUAUGCUUGUUUCUUUGGCGAUGUUCGCUGGGCAGUUGGAUGGCCUUCCACCGUGCAGGCAACCCCUGCAGCGACUUCACCAUUGGUAGACUGGCGUAUAUGAUUUAUUUUACUUUCGGCGUUAAAUCUGAGCCUCCAUCGAUCUUUUUUCGUCCCCCAUUUGUGUUUCUAUCAACUGGAAGACAUAUUGCAAUUGUUCUGUUUCUUCUAUUUAUCUUUCUUGGUGUGAAUUGAUUGAUUUUGAAGUUUUGAUUUGAUUGUUAUCGAUCCUCUAUGGUGUGAUUGUUACAAAGUAGAUUUUUUCCCCCCUUUCUCAUGAAAAUUUUGUGAUGCCGGCUGCUAUGCUCGUCAGCUGUGAGCUACCUGCUGGUUGAGUUGCUUAUAUUGCGAGCAGUAAUGCAAAGUAUGCUGGAUUUUAUAUAGGGUAAACUUCAAAUAUCAUUCCUGCAGUUUCGCACUUCUACACUUAGUAUUUUGUGUUUUAAAAUGUAUCAAUUUAGUUUCUUGUGGUUUUAUUUUUAUUUUUAUUUUUUUUCGCCAGCUCCUCUGUUAAUAUUUUGUUAAAUUAUAUAUAAAAAGCUUUAGAUAUCCUAUCUAGGUUUAUUGAAUAUUUAUUUAAGUACUUUUUAGUUUUAAUUUUGUUAUUGAUUUAACGAAAAAUCUAGCAGAGGGGGAUAAUAAAAAGAGAAAUAAAAUCACGGGGUACUAAAUCGACACAUUUUAAUCCACAGUUGGAUGGCUUGUUGCUGUGCAGGCAACUGCUGUGGUUAUUGUUGCCUUUGGUCAAGCACUUGAACAUGGUGAUUGCUGAGGUGUUUGAAUCUAGUGUGGCAAAUAUGAGGUGAUUCUCAGUUUAUACCCCCUGUAUUUUCGUUUAGGGUGUGUUUGAUUACUCGUAAAAAUGGUCAGAAAACUCCUUUCAGUCUGAAAAUUUGUUUUCGUUCGUUUGUUGAGCUGUAAAAUUGUUUUCCUUGUAAAACUUUUUUACAUAUUAUUAUAACUGGGCCUUUUUGUUUUCCGCCAAAACUUCGUGGAAUUGUGGAAAACGUUUUGGCGGUAUUGUGGAAAACGAAAAGCUCUUGCUGCAAAAAAUAAAUAAAUAAAUAAAUAAAAACACCGGUGUGUAUAUGUGCACGGCAAUUAAAAGAUCAUGCGGUCCACCCACUAAGAAACCAAAUGUCUGAACCAAGUGCACCUACAAAUACUAGAGAUUAUUGUAUACUUGGUGUAUUCAUAUAUGUACACUAUUUUCAUCUAACAUUUUUUUAUAAAUAUAUGUCUAUUCCAUUUUGUAUACAGCAGUUGUUUAAAAUUUAAAAUUUGGGUAGUUAAAUUGGGAGUACGAAAUAAAUUGGUGGUCUUUUGAAGCUGGUUGUGUGAGUUCAUGGGUGUGCGAGAGGUGCACAAAUAAUUUUUUUUUUCUUGUGGAUCUCCCACCAACAGUGUAAUAGUAAUGUGUAUAGUAUGUGUAUAAAAUAAAAUGUAUAAUACUAUUUCUACGCUAUAUAGGAAACAUAUAUUAUAUAAAUGGUUUUUUCUACAUGUUUUCCUUUCAACCAAACAAACAUUGUUGGAAAACUAUUUUUUCUUUUCUACGAACCAAUGUAAAAUUUUUGUUCCACGAAAAUUUUUUUUCACCGAAUAUAUAUAUAUUUUUUCCCAGUGUUACGUUGAACUAAACUUCUUGUUUAGUAAAAGUACCUAGGUGGCCUUUUUGUUUUCCUCCGCAUUUUGGCCUCUAGUUUGUUGAUUUGGCUUUGCUUAUUUUAUGAAUCUGGCCCAUUUCCCUCUUUUCUCAGACUGAGCAUAGUGUAAUAUGCAUGUACUUGAUCUUGAGAGGUGAUAAUGUGGAGCUAGUUGUAUCUUGAUGAGUCUAUUAUGUUACAGUUCUACCAGAACAUCAAUAAUAAAUCAAUCAUAUAUAUAUAUUUUUUUAAAAGAUAGGUAGCACGCUACCCAUUUCGUUUAUUUCAGUUAGAAAUAAACUUAGCUGGAAAUGUGNUAUAUAUAUAUUAAGAGAAUUUUAAAGAAAAUAUUUUUUAAUAAUUAUGAUGGGAUGGGCAAAUUUAAGGGGAAUAAUUUGAUUGGUUGAGAAUGCUACAUCAGCUAUAUAAUAAUCGGUGCAUUGUAGGCUUUUCACUUAGUGUAAGAGUGUUGUUUGGUUGCUGCUGUUUUUCGUGCUUUCAAGAACUCUCUGUACAUGGGAUGCUUGAAAGGUGGUAGAAGGAAAGCAUGCUAUGUUUAUUAUGACUCUCCAGGAGGUGGAAUUAAAGCAUUUGUGUAUUGCGCUGGUAUUAUGGAAACAUUGUAGUUACCGCAUUAUUAUUUUUUUACAGGUGCUCUUAUUGGCAUCUGAUUUGCAUGUAUUUUUGUGUGAAGUAGUAGCAAAAUGUUAUGAUUUGUGCUAUACGGGUGCAGUAAUCAAGCUGAAAGGUUUUUUUUAAAAUUUUUGUUCACUAGAUUAUUCUAUGUGUAGGGCAUCUUUCAUUGUCUUUAAAUGAGAGUUGGUGAGUCGUAACCCUUUCCUUGUUUACGUCAGUGUGGCUUAUACGCAAGUGGUAUUUAUAUGCGGUUACUUGAAUACCGCAUUUAAGUUGUUCGAUUGAUUUUUCUAGUAAUUUGAUUGAUUUUAAGAAAAAAACUGCUAGAAACAUGAAAAUUUAAGGAGUUGCUGACUAACUGAUGCCAAAAUUUAAAGUAGUGCACUGACAAAUUCCAAAAUCAUGUAAUUACACAUCUCUCAUGUUUUAUAGGCUACGGAACAGAGAAAUUAAAAUCAUGCAUACGACAGUAAUAUUUCAACUUAUUAGACGGUACUUUACUGCUGUAUUAAUACCGGUACCUCUGAAGUAUAAAAGAUUAUUUACAAUGUAAAUUAAAAAAUACUCCGCAAGAACGAUACCAACCAACAACACCAUUGGGUUCGGGUACAAAAAAUUUCUGAAAGAUGAAAGCAAUUGAAGUUCGAAAACACGGUUAUCACUGUCAAAAAUGAGUUUUAGUAGGAAUGCUCAUGCUUUCAAUGCCCCAGCAGUGUAGAUUCCGAAUGCUUUUGCUAGCCAAUCUCCUUUCAUACCUGAAAUCCUCGACGACGCCACCACCGGAGCAUUCCUUGCUGGCUGCAUUGAGAAUUGCCCUGUUAAACCCUACCCUUGCCGAAGGCCUGCAACUCAUUUUUGCAUAACAGAUGCAGAAGAACACACGUGCGCGCCCACGUUUCGAGAGAAACUUUAAACUCGCGUAGGAUGGCUCUUGAUUGCUCUUGACGAAGGGAACCGGCUCUUUCUUAACAAAUAUAGUUCUUCUGGGAGCUGGGCUUCGCCGAUGAGCUCAUUCAGAUAGAGCAGUUAGAGCCCUGCAAUGUCGCAAAGCGGAGCUGCUUUGAUAUAUCACGGCGGAAAAGAUCUGUGAUUUCUUUGCUUCCAUAAUGACGAUCACAAAAUAUCGACAAUAUCGAUCUCAUUGGCACGUAUAAUUAGUUCCGCGGUUUCGUCGUCCAAAUCUAUCUGAUCUCUUGCCAUCAUCUUAGGGAUAUUCGGGGGAGCUCUCUUAGUAUUUAUACAUACUCUUAUAAAGGAUUUGUACAAUGGCAAGCUCAUGAUAUUCAGUUUUCUUAGAACCUUCACAUACCUCUUCGCGUUCUCAAAAUCACCUUCCUCCUCAAAAUGCUCUGCUAUGGCCUCCACAAUCGCAGGAUUCGGCCUCCAACGACAAAACUUCAACAAAGAAAAGCCCUUUUUCAUGGCCUCUACAGCUUUCUCCAUCUCCCUGUUCUUCACCCAUCCUUCCAUUAAAAUUUCCCAUGUCUUGUAAUUUGGUUUGGCACCUUUUUCCAAAGUAUAGAGGUGAAAUUUCUCAGCCUUUUCCAUCCACCCAUUCCUCACAUAAGCACCCAGAAGAACAUUCGAUACUCGGACAUCAUACUUAAAGCAUUCUGAUUCCCAAGUUCUAAAGACCCUCUCUGCCGCCCCUAUAUCACCAACUUUAAUCAAACACAACAUAACACACAUGUAAUUUACACAAGUGAUUCUACUUGGUACCUUUUUACUAGCUUCCCAAAGCCUAAUAACCCCUUCCCUAUCCCUCAAAGAAGCAUAGAUUGUCAUGAUGAAAGAAUAGCCCAGCCGUUUCCUUGCUGAAAGCUUCUGUUCAGCUGUUCUAAGGGCUUCAAAAGCUUUCUGGAUAAGCCCGUAUUUUAUGUAGAUAUUAGCUAAGGUCGAGUGCGUGCUCCAACCAACCUCGAUGUCCUUAUCAUUCACCAUCUCCUUAAGCACCAUCUCUACAGAAGUUGCAUUAGAAACUUCCGCACAUGCAUUCAUCCAAAGGUUGUAGGAAACAACAUUAAGAGGGAUCUUACUGUUUUUCAUAUGCCUAAUAACUGCCAGAACCUUUUUGUAUUGACUUGUGGCCACAUAGAGCUUCAUCAUUUCAUCGAAAAGGUAAGGAUUCACGGCUAACCCGUAGUUUUGCAGCUUUGCCAUUAGGGUCUCGGCUUUUUCCAAGUCCCGUGCCUUAACAUAAUAAUGGAGGAGAGGAAAAGAUGCAGCCUUCUUUGAAGCACUGGUUGAUAAUUUCCCGAAGUACUCCUCAGCUUCAGAUAUAUUGCGAAGUUUGGUGAUCAAAUCCAAUAUGGCUGCAUGAUCAGACGAUGCUAAUUCAAACUUUCUGCAUGACUCCAUCCAUGUUAAAAUCUGCAGUGUGAUGGAAGAAAUGUUCAUAUUUACAAUUUUAGGGUUAAACUGAAACAAGACAAGCAAAUUGCAAUGAAUAGAAUGAAAAUGUUAACAAGUUCUUUAUAUAUAACAGAAAAUUUAUUGCGCCAUAAUGAAGCUUGAUCAUUUUGAUCUUACAAUACGGGGGGAAAAAAUAAUAAACAUGAAGAGUGAUUUUCUGUCUGGGAAGGGAAAAUUUGGCAAAUGAUUCCGACUUGGUCUGGCAGAGAUCUGCUUUCUGCUGUGGAACUGUGGAAGGUGCCAAACAAGUGUUGUCCAUCUUCUUACAGAACAUUAGAUGGUUGGACAGCAGAACCUUGUAUAAACUGCUAGAUUGGAGUUAUGUACAGACAGGCAGCAAAUCUUAGCUUUAAAUCUUAUGCAAUCAACUCGAUCCUGCAGCAGGGCUGUUCAUAAAUUAACUCAAGUUUAUUUGAGAAGCUAUAAUGCAGAGAUCAAAUCGUUCGAAAAUACAAACACUCCAAUGUUGUAUCCAUCAGGCAAAGCAUAUACUGCUAGCAGAGACCCCGAGAAAACCAGAACUAUCGAAUUGCUUCCUUAAUAAAAUCUUUGAUAUUCUUCAAUUGCUCAAGCAUGUAAAGUAUAUUUAAACGAGAAAGUAAACACGAAUUCUCCAAAUCACCACCUGAGAAGUCUCAUCUGUGAAAGAUUCAUAUCUCCUCUAUUCUUUCUCGGUACGGAUAUGAAAGUUAUCCAUUUUCCGUACCAUGCGAGUGUGCCGCAACAGUAACAAAAUUAUUGUAAAAUACGAAGCUAAGCGCCAGUAACAUAUUAUCGAUAAUGUUAUCUAGUCUAUCUGAGUAUCAUCAUCAAAAACAAUUCCUAUCUGGGCUAUUAAUUCCAAACACCUGCACAAAGAUCUUCCUAAAAUACAAAACAUAUCAACAUGCUCCACUGCAUUAACUUCAGUCAUGCAUACCCAAUAUCAAAGAUAAUGCCCAAUUAGCAAAAAUGUCAGAGUACAUUCACACAUAGUUGUCGAGUUUGCUGCAUAUUGUGCCAAAUUUUGGCUCAAGAACAAGUUUUUAUGGCAAGAAUUUUCGAUUUUACUAAAUAAACCCUAGAUAUGUCAGAGUCCACCACUGGGACUGAAACACGUAAGAGUGGAUCGCUCACCUCGAGCGCGUGCUUAUACCGCUUCGCCUUCCUGAGCUCCGCGAUGAUGCGCCGGAGCUCGGAAAUGGCGACCUCGCCCCCUCCGCGCACCCACUCGUCCAGCGCCGCCGCCGCGCUCUGGCGAUCGAAGCGAAGCCGGAGGAGGCGACGUCGUAGGUCAUCGGCCUCCGCCGCCGAGGAUUCUUCGGGGGAGACUCUUAGGGUUGGGGUUCCGGUCGCCGUGGGGAUCGAGGAGAACGGGCUAGGGCUGGGGUUAGGGUUAGGGUUUCGGAAGAGGAGGAGGGAGAAGAGGGUAGUUGAGAAAAUGGGGUUUCGAGGGCGCGAACGAAGGAGAAGAGUUGCCAUGAGAAUGAGGCGAAUUAGCUGAACCGUUACUGGGUUUUUAUACGGGUUCGGACCGAACCGGUUUGCACCAUUAUGGGCCGGGUUCAGGUGGAAUCCCUGUGCAGGUGCAUUGGCUAUAAAUUAGGGCUUGUUUGUUUCACCGGCCGGAAUAGGUCGGAACUUGCGAGUUUCAAUCGCACCCCCCAUCACGACUUCGGAAUAGGUCGGAACUCGCGAGUUUCAAUCACACGCCCGAUCUCGACUUUUGCUAUAGUAGGGAAUAAAUUCAUACUUUCAUACUGUACACGAGAUUAGAGUCGGUACUUACAGACCUACGCUAUCAACUGCUCUCUUCAUCUAAUCUUCGAAUUCGCAGAUAUCCUCUAAACAUUUGUGCUCGCCGUUUGACGAGGUGAUGACUCAUGCAUUGGAUAUCGGGAUGUGGGGCGAAAGAAACAUGCCCUUAUCGGGUGAAAGAAACAUUGCACUAGUAGUCACUGAACUUCUGCUCGAGUUUUAUUUUGGUUUCUCUCAAUCAAAACUCGGUAGGGGUUAAGAUGGAAACCUCAAUACAACCUCGUUGGCUUUCAUUUAACAGGUCUGUUUGUACCAGCUUCUGUUCUUUACAACUCGCUUUGUCGCUGUUUAAUUCAACGUAAUUGUAAAUGCAGUAUAGCUACAAAUGCAUACAAUUGAAAAUACGCAGCGGUUAUAAUUUCAUAUAUCUUAUUUGGUUGGAUAUAGAAGAAAGUGUUGUAGUGAUAAAUAAUUUGUUUCGAUGCAUGUGGUUGAGAAGUACAUUACAAAAUUCCAUCGUUUUAUAAAGAAGGAGGUGAGAUUACCCCCUAUAUAGAAAAAAAGGAAAAAAUAAUUAAAUGGUUAUUAGAGAGGUAAGUUUAUUUUUGUUUAAAGUUAUUUUCUUCAAGUACAGUCGUAAUUGUAGCAGUUAAAUUUAAAUGUGUCAAACGAACAUGAAUUUAAAUCUGUAUGUAGUUAUAAUUAUAGUGUAGUUACAACUAUAUAUAACUAAAUAAUCCCUUAGUCGACCAGAAAAAUGAAACAAUGUUGAUUCCAUAAUAAUAGAAUAAUGAUGGUUUCCUUGCAUCUAAAACUAGAGGUACUAUUAUUAGGAAGAACAUUUCUUUCAAAGGAUGAGAGGGGAAUUGAAAGAUAAGGACAUUUAGCAGUGUGGUCACACAUUACAACCUAAAUUAUAGAUAUGAAAAAUAUGAAUUAAAUUUUCCAAAAAGUAAUAAUUAAUCUAUAUAUGCAGUUUAAAAUAUUACUAUUGAUUUUAUUAAUAUGUAUAUAUAGUACACAAAGUAUCAAUUACAAAGACCAAGGCCUCUAUCCUCACCUAACUCUAAUAUGUCACAUCCUACAUAAGAUUGACAGUUGCUAAGAAAAAAAAAAAUUUACUAUAUCUGUAUUCGACUGAAUCCGAAUUUUAAUCAAAUAUAUUAUUUUUAAAUUCAAAUCUGAUUUAAAAUCAGAUGCUCGGAUUCGAAUUGAGUUAAGAUAAACAAAAUUAUAUGUUAAAUAGAAACUCAAGUUUCAAAACUAUGUAUUAUAAAUAAGAACAACAUAAUUAUAUAAUUUUUAUGUCUAAAAUCCGUUCUAAUUUUACUUGAAUUUUUGGACGGGAACUUUUUUAUUCGAAUUUGAUUAUUUUUGGGUCGGUAAAUUGGGUCGGAUCAUAAUUUGCUAAUUCUAAUUAUGAAAUAAAUAAAUAUGUCAUUUCCGAGGACACCUUAGUACAUUGGUCAAAGAAGGACACUUCAAACCUCUUCCCUAAAAUUAUGUCUUUUCAGGAGCCUUUUUGGUUUUGGUGAGUGAUGUGGGUAAUUCAUGUCGUUUUCUUAAGCUCUUCACCUAAUUUAACCUAAUUCUCCUCAACUUAAUGAUAUUUUAUUUAUAAAAAAAUAAUAUCAACAAAAUUUAUUUAUUUUUAUAUCAGAAAUAGAUUAGAUACAUUAAAUUUCAUCAAAUUGAGUUAAAAAGUAUCUAUAAGUCAAUAAUAAAUUUAGCUCGGUGAAUAAUGCUAAAAAUUUAAUAUUCGAUUUGAAAUUGCACAUUAGUAUAGUUGUUUGGUUUCCGCAAAUAUAGCACAUGAUAUAUAUGUAUAUAUGUUAUAAAAAUUGAUUGAGAUAUAAUAUUUAUAGUUCUGUCCAAAAAUGUAUAUAUAUAUAUAUUUUAUAUUUUUUCCUAACUUUUUUUUGCCCAAUAAAAUGUGACUCUCAAUACAAAACAAACCCUACAUUAAUUUUCAAGAAAAUGUGUAAUUUGAUAAAAAAAACUUAGCCAAUAAUAAAGCGUAUUAACAUUGGAUUAUGUUCAACUGACCAAGAAUAAUUUGAUAUAAUAAUACAUUUAUAUCUUAUUUUCAAAAAAUUGACUCGAAAGUUGAAUAUUUAUGCCAGGCAAAUAUUUAUUAGUGGUAUUCUCUUCAUUCAUAAAAUACCAUUAAUUUUUUUGAAUAAAUCAAAUAGAUAUGCUAAAUAAAAUACUUUUACAUAAAAUAGAGGUGAAGAGUAUGGUUGAGUUGUAAAAGAUAUUAAAUGUUGUGAAAAUUAGAAAGCUAAAUAGUACUGCAUUAAUUUAUAUGCCAUGUUAGUUUUCUUAAUUUCUUUUUUUAAAUUUUUUUCCUGCCUUUUUCACGUAUUCUAUUGCGAAAGUAAUUUUUAUUAUUGUCGAAAUAAAUAUACUCAAAUUUUAUUAUAGUUAAAGAAAGAAAUCUAAUUAAGAAAGAAAAUAAUUUACAAAAUUAAAGAGAAAAAUAUAUAUAAUUUAUCUCAACUACCGCCCGUUUUAAUUUGAUUAUUUAAUCUUUAAAAAUUUUAAUUCUACUAUUUAAUUUUUUUUUAAUUUUAUUUAAUUUAAGUUAGCUAAUAAUUUUCUAGCUCUAAAAUUUGAAUAGAAUAUUUUUUUUGAUAAGUUAUUAAUUAUCAAUUUAUCAAGAUAUCUAAUUAAUUAAAAUAGUAUAAAUUUUUAAUACUUUUUAUACAUUUUUAUCUAAAUUUUUUUAUUAAUAAUUAGCAAUUAAUAUUAAUUAAUAAUUAAUAAUAAUAAUAAACAUGAAAACUUAGAAAACCAAAGAGAGGAAAAAUCAAGGAGAAUGCUGAGAAUCUCUCUUUCCUUUUUAUUAUUUGGUAGUCCCACUUAAACACAAUGAAAAGGUUGACCAAAAAAAUUAAAAAAUAAAAAUAAAAAUAAAAAUAAAAAUAAAAAUAAAAAAAAAAAAUAAAAAAUAAAAAUUCCACCCUUUUCCCCUCAAAAGUUUUCAACUUUUUCUCCUCUCUCUCUCUCUCUCACUCUCUCUCAUUGGUGGGUGGGUUCUUGGCUCCUCUACGCCCCACCCAACCCCUUCCCCCUUUCGAUCCAUUACCACUUCGCAAAAACCUUUUUUUUCUCUUUUUAAUACCCUUUCCACCCACUUUUUUCAAUUUUUUUCAAGGCAAAAACUCAUCUUUUUUUGUUAUCUCGGAUCACUCGUAGUUUUUUUUUGCUGUUUUUUUUAACCUUUUCGAUACAAAACAAUCAAAUUUAAAGCUUUUAGGAACCGUUUUGCGUUGGCGCACACACAACCGUAUUCUCCUUUUCCUCUUUUUUUCCUUUUUGUGUGUGUGUGUGUGUGUGUGUGUGGGUUGGUUUUGUGUUCAGGGAUUUUUAAUGACAUUUGGAGUGUUAACUACUGCGGCUUUGGGGGGGACCCACGUGGGGAUACAGCUCCAAGAAGCGUGAGGAGUGUUCAACACCCACAUGGGUUUUGGAUUACCAAAUCCUUCAUCGGUUUGAUGUGGAUUUUUUUGGUGAUUUAAUCGGAUUUGACUGGGGGGAGAGGGAGUUUUUUGAGAUCUCCCCCCCUUUUGGCUUCGGAUUUGGGGUUUUGAUGAAGCAAUUCUUGGUAAAGUUCCUUCCUUUGAUUUUUCUCUAUUUGAUUUGUAAUCCUUUUUGUAGUUGCAAGGGGUUUCUCUUAUUGUUUUUUUUUUAAUUAUUAGUUUACGGGAAUGAUUAAAACGGAGAAAAGGAAAGCGGAAUUGGGGAAGAACAUGAGAGAUUUGAUUGUUUCUGGUUGAUUUUUUUGGUGAUUGUUAGUUGAAUUCACCUCUCGGGUCCGAUUUUUGAUCUGGGCCUUUCUCAAUUCCACCAAAUUUUACGGCUUUCGAUAUCGAUUUGAGGUAACACGCGAUCACGAAUCUUAUUAUGCAUAGGUUAAUAUCAAGGAUAAUAUUUGACCAAGAAAAAUUUUGUAUUUGAACUUGUUUUAUUCAUAUCAAUACCCUAGCAAGAUUGUGGGUUUAAUCACAAUUAAAUUUUGCAUGCGAUAUCUUAGUCGAAUUUGAUAACUCUCAAAUCAUUUGGGUCCUGUUGGUAUUAUAGUGUUUAUGAUUGUUGGAUUAGAUAAGCAUCUUGAAACACUACAACUUUUUCAUUUUAUGUAAGUUAUAGGGUGGAUAUUCAUGUCUUGUUGUUUCGAUGGUAAUACUUCGUGGUAAAAUAAAUGCUUAAGCUUUUGCAUUUGGUGCCGCUAUAAGCUCCCGAGGUCUAAUAAACAAGCUAUUGGCUACUCAUCAGAUGUUCAACGUUCUUUCAAUUAUUGAUAAUGUUCUUAGAGGCAGGUUAAAUAUUCCAUUUUUGUGGUGUUUCAUGAUUUGUUUUGCUAAAAUUAUACAUAUUCAAUCAUCGAAUGGUCCUUUUUUUCUCAAUUCCUUAUAUUACUUAAUGUUUGUUGCUCGGAGCAAUCAAAGCAACCUGCAACAUUUCUUGUUCAAACAUGAAAUCAAGCUCUCUAGCACUUUUAUAGUUGCGUAUAAUGAAGCUAAUAUAGUUGCAGCUAAAGUUGGCCAGGGCUGUCGUAUUAUAGCAACUCUUGUAAUGGGUUGGCUGAACAAAAUUUUUAAAGGUUCUAGCCACAAAAUUUCAGAGGGGCAGUACCAUGGACAAUCUGGCGAUGAUGGCUAUUGGAACGAACCCUCUAGUUCGUCGGUCGGGCCGUCAGAGGUACUUCUCUUGAUCAUCUUGGAGCUUUUUCCGUUAGCAGUAAACAAAGAGAUAAGUAAAAUAUCGAUAACUUACGAGACACCUGAACAGGGUUUGAUGAGUAUAUUUGGGAUCUAAUCUUUUGCAAUGAUGUGUUCUCUUCGAAAUUUUUUGCUCCUGUUGUUUGUAUAUGCGGAAUACAGGAUGUUCUUUCGGAGUUUGACAAUGAAGAAAUUGAUCGUGCUAUUGCGCUUUCCCUAUCAGAAGAAGAACAGAGAAAGGCAAAGGCAGUUGGUUCGUACGACAUAUACUACCUCAUCAAACUUUUAGCUUAUCUUCCCCUUAUUUCAUGUGCAUAAUUUUAUGUGUUUUUCAGUUUGAAUGAGAAGUAAGAUCUUAGACCGAUUUUGUGAAUUGUAGUUCGUUGUAUGACGAGCAUUAUUUGUAGACUAUACACCUUGUGUUAAGUAGAGUAGUUGAAUUUCUUUCUUAAAAAGGAUAGUCGAUGUCGGGUCUCGUUACUUACGGAACUUUAGUUUUUUAAUAAUUUUUUUUCCUUCAUUUCAGAGAAGGAAUCGCUCUUGGAUGAAGAUGAACAAUUUGCAAGAGCUUUGCAAGAAAGUUUGAAUGUUGAAUCUCCGCCCCGUGAAAAUGGCAAUACAUAUCAACCAUUACCUUUUAUCUUUUCUUCUGGGUUCAGGUAAUUCUCUUGCUUUGCUCUCAAUCCUUGAACAUCUAGUUGAACAUUAUUUCAAUUUUCUUCUACGAAUAAUUGUGGAAAAUUAUAUCAGUUUGGUGUACUUCCAUUUCAUCAAACUAGUUAGUGUUUGUAAGGCCGACUACAAUCGCAAGUUGCAAUUUACAGUCGAAAGCUCCAAUUUCUGAUUUUCGAAGCAUCUGAUUACAUUUGGUGCGAAUUUCAUGGUUUCACAUAUUACAUUUAUGUGCAUAGACAUACUUCCAGUUUAUCAACUGUAUUCGUGUAACAGUACAUGGAAACAUUUUUUUGUUUUUGUACAUAUUUUGUGUACUUAUAACCUGAUGAAGAAAGGAUAUUUUUCCUUGUGAUCUGUUACGUUAUGGGGGAAAAACAUUGAAUCUAACUUUUGCUGUAGGAUAUGUGCUGGAUGCAAUAGAGAGAUUGGCCAUGGACGAUUUCUCAGUUGUAUGGGAGCUGUUUGGCACCCUGAAUGUUUUCGGUGUCAUUCUUGUAAUCUGCCAAUAUACGACCAUGAGGUAAUUUUUUUCAUUACUUAUUUUGGAAAUCUAUCUACGACGGAUCGAAAACUCAUCAGAUUGUGCUUUAGUUCUCCAUGUCUGGGAAUCACCCUUAUCACAAAUCCUGCUACAAAGAGCUUUAUCACCCAAAAUGUGAUGUUUGCAAACAAUUUGUGAGUAUCUAAAUUAUACCUUCUUUCUCUUUGUUUUGUUCAAGCAGUUUAUUAUUAUUAUUUUUUGUUUCUAGUGAUAAUUUACGACGGAUUAGCAUAGCGUAUAUAUUACAAGACAAUUUAGUACGUAGUCAUGUUCAUCAAAUUCAAAGCAGCAUUUACUCCUCUCUACCUCGUUUUUUAAGUUUCAAGCAAAUCGGCAAAUAAUGGUUCUUUUUCACUUACAUAUAAGCUAAAAGGUUUCGGAAGUUUUUGUAUAUCUCAUUUUUAUCAUUUGGCUUCGGUAGCUAAUUCAUCUACAAAACAUAAACCCGCUGCAAAAAGAGAUUGUUUCUGGUAGAUCAUAAUUUGUAAUUUGUGAUCUAAUAUUAUAGCGUUAAUAACCCCUCGAUUUAUAAAUUAAGGCCUUUUAUUGAUAAUUUUUCUUUUCACACUUUUAAGUUUUCCGCUCUCUAUUCAUGUCCUUCUAUUUUCAGAUUCCGACGAAUAUGAGCGGCCUUAUCGAAUAUAGGGCGCAUCCUUUCUGGCUACAAAAGUAUUGUCCUUCGCAUGAGAUGGAUGGUACUCCAAGAUGCUGCAGCUGUGAAAGAAUGGAGGUUGGUUCUACUACCAUUUCGAAAGAUUCCCUAUCUAGAUCAGUAAACUCGCAACAUAAAUUUUGACGCUAUUGUGAUCUAUUACCUUUUAUUUUCCUUUUUUUGUGUGUGUUUUUAUGAAAUCCAUAGCCGAGGGACUCAAAAUACGUGACUUUGGAUGAUGGGCGAAAGCUUUGCCUGGAGUGUCUAGAUUCUGCAGUGAUGGACACGAGCGAAUGCCAGCCUCUUUACAUUGACAUACAAGAGUUCUACGAAGGUCUAAACAUGAAAGUGGAACAACAGGUUCCGCUUCUUUUAGUUGAGCGACAAGCUUUAAACGAAGCCAUGGAAGGAGAAAAGACUGUAAGUCGGUUGUCCGCAAGCCCUAGGGCUGAAAUUACUGUACUUUUUAUUCCGGCUAAAUUCUGUACACUUUAAAACCCCACAUUUUUUCCUCCCUUAACUCUACAAAAUUUCAUAGCUUCGCCUUGGGUUUAAAAAUAUUCACGAAGGCGAUGUGGAAAUCGUGAUUUUUAUGAGUCGUCUAUCUUUUUUGGUUUCAUUUAUCUUUUUUCAUCUCUAAGCAGGGUCAUCAUCACCUCCCGGAAACAAGAGGGCUCUGCUUAUCAGAAGAGCAAACUGUGAGCACGGUAAGAAGCCUCUUCAACUUUACAUCAUGUUAUUGUUUAACAUUUUUGCCAUUCAUAUGAUACGCUCGGCUAAAAAACAACUAUUUUCAGAUAUUAAGGAGACCGAGAAUUGGGGCUGGAAAUAGAAUUAUGGACAUGAUAACGGAACCAUACAGACUCACUCGGCGAUGCGAAGUAACUGCAAUUCUUAUUCUAUACGGUCUCCCUAGGUAAGAUUCGACUUCUCGUUUUUCAGAAACAACAUUAUGGUAUGUUUAAAUCAAAAUGUGGAUUCAAAAUGCGGAUGUAUAGUUUUGAAUAAUGAGCUUGUUUUGAAUUAUCUUUAAUUGAAUGCUUCGAAGGAAGGUCUAAUUCAUAAGCAUGUUUCUUUUUUUUAUUCCUUUCAGAUUAUUAACAGGUUCAAUUCUAGCCCAUGAGAUGAUGCAUGCAUGGCUGCGACUUAAAGGUAUCGUCCCAGUUUAUAUAUCGAUUGAUUGCAUUACUGUUUGGUUCGCAGUAGUACGGCAAAUAAGAGUUUAUCUCACAGUUAGUAAAUUUAGGGAUUCACUUGAAUUUACUAAUUGUCGCCGCUAAAUAACUUUUGCUGCGAAAGCAAUUAAGCCCUUUGAAUAUGAUAAUUUCACUUUGUUUCAGGAUAUAGGGGCCUUAGUCAAGAAGUCGAAGAGGGCAUAUGUCAGGUUCUCGCACACAUGUGGCUCGACUCAGAGCUCAUGUCGGGGUCCGGCAGUAACACCGCGUCCGCCUCAUCGUCAUCGUCGUCGUCGUCAUCCUCGUCAGGACCCACAUCAUCCAAAAAGGGUAUGCGAUCCCAGUUUGAGAGGAAACUCGGGGAUUUUUUCAAGCACCAGAUCGAGUCUGACACGUCUUCGGCUUACGGAGAUGGUUUUAGAGCUGGAAACGUAUCAGUUCUUCGGUACGGCCUUAGACGAACCCUUGACCAUAUAAAAAUGACAGGGAGCUUCCCACUAUGAUUUGCUACGAAUAUUGUUCUGCGUUAAGUUAAAACCUAAUUAUUCCUUUUCAUGCCUCGAGUCGAUUAUAAAAAGAAACCACACCCUUCUUUUGCGCAAAGUACAGUGAGAUGGUACAUGUAGACAUGGCUACGAUUACGGAAUAAAUUGGAAAUCCAGUUCAGAAUAUUUUUUUGACUUCGUCGCUUGCUUAGUAGUGUUAUAAUUGAAGUGAUUGUCGUAUUAUUUGUUCUUUAAAUGAUGAGCUAGUAUAAAAUUAGGCAAAUGAGACUAUUGAUGUACUGUGCAAGGAGAAACAGACUCUAGGUUAAAGACAAAAUGGCAACAAUGAGGUGAAAAUGCCAAAUUAUAUGUGGCUUCUUGGCUUUUAUUAUACUGAGUAGGUUUUGACCAACAAAGAGUUAUGAUGUUGAAGUAUUGGCUUUGAAUUUCAUGGUGAAAGGAAAGUUUACUGCACUAUUGGCAUUUAUGUUUCAAUUUGUGAGUCAUUUAUAUUCUGGAGCUUCUCAAAGUCAAUAUUGUAAGCAUCUUAUUUUUGUCCUUUUUAAUCAUAAGGCCCCUUUGUCAUCAGCAUGAGUAUAGUAAUAAUAAAUUAUUGGGCUAACUCAAUGCAAAUAUUAAAUUAGAUGCAUAUUCAAUAAUUUAAAGGCCUAUGGCACAUUAUAGCCCUGUGUAUAUCUUCAUUCCCUGUUACAAUAAUCAACAGAUGCUUACAAUUAUACAGGAGCUAUGAAUCAUUGCUGACAAAGAAAUUUUGAACCAUUUGCCAGCUAAUUUGCUCAGAUCCACAUUCCUCCCAAAAAAAAAAAAAAGGUAAUGAUGACAGAUAGAUCCUGUUUUUAUGUCGGAAUAAAUUAUUCAAUAAUUAUUUAGUACGAAAAAUGUAUUUAUUUAUUUUUUGCGUGCGUUAUUGGAAAAUAGGAUUUUGAUUUUUUGCUUGUUAAGGCCUCGACAGCUAUGAUUUGAUAUUACAUAUAACUUACGAGAUGGUGUAUCUUAUGUUAAAAGUUGGUCUGAACAUGUUCCUCACCUAUCAAACAUGAUAAGCACUUUGAAUAAAUCGAAGAGACAGUUUGAAUAAGAUAUUCAUGCAUCCAAACAAAGCUUAUUUCAAGCCAAAUAUUUCUGAUGUUACCUUAAUUUUCCUGUAAUCACGAGAUUCAUUCACUAGUUCAAUCCAUUGAUAAAAUCACAUCACAUGCUCAAAAAUCACAAAAUUUCACUUUUGCCUCCAAACUUCAAUUGUAUCUCAUAACAGUUUUAACUUCAUCAAGUCUCAAGCUCUGGAUUGAAGAUAUGUUAAAUUAUUUAUAAGAAAAGGUUGAUUUGCCAGUCUGUAAUCAUUUUCAGACAGCAUGACAUCCUGCUGAGCUUUCAGGAAAAGCCCACAUGAGUUUUGCUGCUGAAAGUGUUCACAUUGGCUAACAUACUUAUUAUUGAAUAUUGAAUAUAAAAACAUUAAAACAUAGUUCUAUAUCGGCUUAAGCUAUUGAGUAAUCUGUUAGCAUCAGAACAGUAGAUUCUGAGUUCAAAUCUCUCGAUCUUUCUCAUUUAAUUUAGUACAGAUUAUGAUUUAAUAGGAUAUUACAUAUAACUUACGAGAUGGUUUAUCUUAUGUUAAAAGAUGGUCUAAACACAUUCCUCACCUAUCAAACAUGAUAAGCAUUUUGAAUGAAUCAAAGAGACAUUUUGAAUAAGAUAUUCACGCAUCCAAAUAGAGCUUACUUCAGGCCAAAUAUUUUUGAUGUUACCUUAAUUUUCCUGUAAUUAUGAGAUUCAUUCCAUUGAUAAAAUCACAUUACAUGCUCAAGAAAUCACAAAAUUUCACUUUUGCCUCCAAACUUCAAUUUUAUCUCAUAACAGUUUUAACUCCAUCAAGUCUCAAGCCCUGGGUUGAAGAUAUGCUAAAAAAAGUUGAUUUGCCAGUCAGUAAUAAUUUUCAGACAGCAUGACAGCCUGUUGAGCUUUCAGGAAAAGCCCACAUGAGUUUUGCUGCUGAAAGUGUUCACAUUGGCUAACAUACUUAUUAUUGAAUAUUGAAUAUAAAAACAUUAAAACAUAGUUCUAUAUCGGCUUAAGCUAUUGAGUAAUCUGUUACCGUCAGAACAGUAGAUUCUGAGUUCAAAUCUCCUCGAUCUUUCUCAUUUAAUUUAGUUUCCUCCAUUUGAUUUAUGUUUAUGUCUUGGGCAGUAUUAGGAUUCUGGAACAUCCUUAAGAUAUAUAACAACUUCCAUAUCUAAAUUAUUAUAAUAUAUAAUAUAUAGCUUAGCUAUGGUUGGUCAUAUGUAGGUAUGUAGAAAUUAAUAUCCAAUCCAAGACCAACAUAUUUGUUACUUUGGUUGGUUUUUGGAGGAUUUGUUGGAAGCAACACAGCAAUCCUCAAGAAGCACAAUCCUUGUGAUAUCUCUUUGUCAUUUCAAGGGAAUUAUUAUUAUUUUAAAAAAAAAGGACAUACAAAAAUCCUAGAUAAUUUUUGGGGAAACUUCAAUUUACCUACUUUGGUUUAACGCAGUUUUAUUUUACCACGUGACUAUUUUAUUGUUUUAUUCGUAUCUAACUGUAACUUUGCUACCGUAUUUGAUGUCCUAUUCGAUGUUAGACUUUUUCAAUGUCAAAAACAUAAAAUAAAAUUAUAGGAUAGUUAAGCGCAACAUUUUGAACUAUGGAGUGGCAAAGUGAAAAAAAACGAUCUACAUCAUUAGGUGACCUCUAUUCAAGUUGUUCUUUUGUGAACAUUUAUUUAUAAGCAUAAUAAACUGACCAAGUCCAAGCAGAUGACAUAUAGAUGGUAUCAAAUGCAAUGAGAACAAGACCCAAAGAGAAUAAAAUCAAUCCAAGCCAAGACAAAACCCCAUAAGAUCUUUGUAAUUUUUUUAAAGUAAAAUGUUCAUCAAAGAGCCAAAAUCAACAAAGUUCAUAAAAGACUCAAAAAACCACUAUCCACUUACUACAAUACCAAGCCAUGGUAGUAUCAAAGAUGAAACAAUCUCUUCUCACCCUUCUUUUCUCCUCCUGUUUCAUUUACCCUCUCAUCAAUGCUCAAUCCACAAACACAAACACCACAACCUUUUCGUGCUCCUCGAUCUCUCCAUGCAGAACUUACGUCGCAUACCGCACGCAACUCCCGAAUUACGCAGACAUCGGCGCGAUAUCCGACCUCUUCGGAGUUAGCCGCUUGUCGAUAGCUAAGGCCAACAAUCUUUCAUCAGAGGAUGGCACACUUCUCCCUGACCAGCUCUUGCUUGUCCCUGUCUCAUGCGGUUGCACCGCGAACCGAUCCUUCGCGAACAUGACGUACGAGAUUGCGAAAGGUGAUAGCUUCUACUUGGUUUCGAUUCGUGCCUUUGAGAAUCUGACAGAUUACAAUGCUGUCGAGGAGUUCAAUCCGUCGCUCGAUCCGAGCCACUUGAAGGUCGGCCAAGAGGUGAUCUUUCCGCUGUACUGCAAGUGCCCCUCGAAGAUUCAAGUGGAUCAGAGCAUCAAUUUCCUCUUAACUUAUGUUUGGCAAGCAAGUGAUCAGAUUGACCAAGUGAGCAAGUUGAUGAAUUCGUCUACAAAUGCAAUGUUGAGUGAGAACAAUUACCGAAAUUUCAACAACUCGGUGGCUCGUCCGGUCUUAAUCCCCGUAUCGGAGCUACCGCGCCUUCCGACGCCAAUUUAUGAUACAACUACUCAUGUUUCUCAGCAAAAUGCUAGAUCAGAUAGGACUACAAUUGUAGCAUGGAGUAUGGUAGGGGUUAUUUUGGCCCUAGUCAUAUUAGGUGUUCUUGCUUGCUACUGUAAAGAUCACCACAAUAAGGUUUUUACUUGCAAUCGAUCCGAGGUCACUGAUCUUCUCGGAUUCAGUAAAACAUCUGACAAUUUAGCAUUUAGCCCCGCGAUCAAAGGAGAUAAGCUUUUGACCGGCGUAUCGCAAUUCAUAGAUAAGCCCGUGUUUUUCGAUAAUAUGUCUUUAGCAGAAGCUACUAUGAAUUUCGAUGAUAGCUAUAGAAUCGGAAGUUCAGUUUACAAAGCGGAGAUUGGCGGAGAGGUUUACGCAGUCAAGAAGGCCAAAGGAGAAGUCGCGGAGGAACUCAAGAUACUGCAGUUUGUCAGCCAUGCAAAUCUCGUCAAGCUGGAAGGAGUUUCGAGUGACGAAAACGGCGAUUGCUUUCUUAUUUACGAAUUCGCUGAAAACGGGUCAUUGGAUAAGUGGCUGUUUCGGAGUCCUUCGUCAUCGUCGUCGAGCUCUUCGGCAUUUCUUUCGUGGAAGCAAAGGCUGAGCAUACUGCUAGAUGUCGCCAGUGGCCUGCAGUAUCUGCACGAGCACACGAGGCCGAGCAUAGUCCACGGGGACGUCAGGGCGAGGAACAUCCUCCUCAGCGCGGAUUUCAAAGCCAAGAUAUCGAAAUUCUCCGCGGCGAGAAUGGUGGCAGGCGGCGCGACAGCAUCGGCAGACGUGUUCGCUUUCGGAAUUCUGAUCUUGGAGGUGAUCUCAGGAAGGAGAGCUAUGGAAAGCGGCGAAGGUGGCAACAUGAGAAUGUUGUGGGAGGAGAUCAGGACAGUGUUAGAGGCCGAGGAGAUGAGAGAACAUAGAAUCAAGAAAUGGAUGGAUCCGAGUCUCGAAGGGUUUUAUCCUACUGACGGCGCUAUAAGUAUAGCUGUGUUGGCUAGAGCAUGCGCGCAAGAGAACUAUUGUCAGAGGCCAAGUAUGACAGAGAUUGUGUUUAGCCUUUCUGUUUUGGAUCAGCUGUGUAGCUGUCCAUUCGACAGAGCUUCGAUGCCGAAUUCCGAAGAAAAUACUCCGGUAAAAGCUGCAAUCGCAAGUCGCUGAAACGAUGAACAUUAUUUUUGCUUUUUUAAACUUUCAACAAGUGCUGUGUACUUUGAUGAAGUUUUGAGUGAUUUGCUGAUGAAUAUGUGUGCAGUUUCAGGGUGAGCUUGUAAGAAAGGAGGAAAAUUGUGUAGGUUUAGUAUUUGUAUGUAGUUUUGAUCACUAUGAUAAUAGAGGUUUGUGUUGUUGCUUUUUAGUGGUUAUUUCUCUUAUGGAGUCACAGUGGAGUGAUCUAAAGAGGCACACCCAGAAUCUCCGUUGUUGCAUUAUACUCUUGGGCUGCGUUUGGUAAGAGAAUAAGGAAGAAAUAAGCACUUAAUUUUAUGUACUUUGCCAAAUACAGCUAAAUUUGAUAGGAAUGAUAUAUUCUGAUCCCCUACCUCUAGAAAUAAGGAUAAGGAGAUGUUGAAUUAAAUGCAAUUUCUUUAGGCUCUCUUUAGAUGCAUGAAUAUUGUUCAGUAUCUGUCGAAAAUUUAUUUAAAAAAUCUAACGAAGAGUGUAAUCAAAUGUUUAGAAUUGGAUACUACAAUGCCGCAACAUAUCGAUAUUUGUGAUAAGAGAUAUCCAAGACGAGUUAGCAAUCGUCGGUUAUUUACACGGUACCGAUUAUAUUAACAAUUACUGCAGAUCAUUAGUUUGCGAAAACAAUUAUCUGCAGGAAAUCUCAUUCAUGAACUCGAAGGAACGAAACGGGGAUAUGUUUGAUUCAAAAGUAACAAAGAAAACAAACAUAUAAUUUAGAAUUAGCGCGUGUUUUACACAAGCCAUGUAUCUGGCAAAUAGUACAGACAUUUAUCUAAGGAGCUCAUAUUUGAUACAAGAAACAGUAUAAUGCUACCAAAUGUUCCAAAGUGUUGUUUCUCCCUUCGGCUUUCGUCAAAUGGGGCUUUUGAACUUCUGAAAACAACUUCAGAGCAAAUCUCUAUGGGCCUCAUCUGAAACGCAUCACAAUUUCACGCGAAAUCCCCGUAAAAGCCCCUUUUUCGGUAAGCAAAAGCCGUUUAGGCACUCUUGAAGCUCUAAUCCGCCUUUGUUAGUUUUAAACAAACAUUAAUUUCCAUCUGAGUAUCGACGCAGUUAGUAACGCGAGCUAUCUCUUGCCAAAUCUGAGGCACUUGUUGUGUUUUACUUCGGUAAUGGUCGACGUCUGCGCAUUGCUUUGUUUCGAUUGUUUAGAUGCAGGGAGUUUCUCCAUUGCGCUAAUGAAUUUCCUCAAGUGCUUGAUGUACUCCGGAUAAGUUUCUAAAUUGCAGUGGCCGCCGCCCUUUAUCCAGAGCGGCUCGUACUUCUCCUUUGAUAACUCCCACAGGCGCUUACCGUGAGACCAAUCGACGAUAUCGUCGGCGGUACCCUGUACAUAAUUAACAUAUCGACUGAAUACAUGAACAGAACAAUGAAAAAGUAAAAACAUAUAGAACUUAUUUGAACUAUGGACCAUUUUGAGUCGGCUAUUCAACCUUUAAAAAUUUUGAUUUUACUGUCUAGUCUUUCAAUUUAUUUGAUUUGAUUCAGUCAACGGCAUUGUGACUUCAAAAUUUGAAUGUAUCAUUUAUCUUUACUGGUUUACUUAAUAUACUUAAUGUAAUUCUCGCAAUUAUAAAUUUAUUAAAAGUACUUAGCUUAAAUUUUGAAGUCAAAAUUACCGUUGGUGACUCGAAUCAAAGAAGCCGAAGGAUUUGAUAGUAAUAUCAAAAUUUUGAAAGGUUAGAUAGCCGAUUUAAAAUGAUCUGUAAUCCAGAUAAGUUCUAUACGUUUUUAUCGAAAAAAAACACCAUAAGCAUACUACAAUGCAUUUACUAGUGCAGAAAGGAAUGUACACUCACAUGUAUGACAAAAACAGGGCAGUGGACUUGCCGUAUUUUAUCGAUGUUCUGCAAAUACAUAGAGAGACUUGUGCAAUAAAUCGCAGAAGCAACACCGGAACUUGAAAAAUCUAAAUCGUAACAAGUUGACUCAAACUUACUUUAAAAAUAUCGAACCAAAAUGUGACUUUGACGGGGUACAAGACCCGUAUGCCCGAGAGAAUAGCACUAUGAAGGACGACGCCUCGCAACCUCUGUAACCGCGCGGCCAGGUGCAGCGUCGGCCCGCUACCGACGGACUGGCCGUACAAGAUCAGAUCCUCUUGCCUUAUCCCGUAAUUUUUCUUCAAACAAUCGUAUACAGCUUCUAUGUCGUAGUACGUGUUGAAUUCGGAUGGCUUUUUGAGGAAUAACAAGCGAAAAGAAGAGAAUAAAAGACAGUUUAGACAUCGAAUUACAGCGGCGCAAAGAAUUGUAACAAUUCAGGUGCAUGCAAAUCAAUAAGGCAUUUGGUUCCUCGAAAAAGCAUGGAAAACUGUUUUUCGGCGAAAAAGUUUUCCAUGGAAAACACUUUUCCACAUUUUCAUUUUUCACUUUUCCAUGAAACUAGAAAAAAAAUCUUUUCUAGAAAAAGUACUUUUCCUACGAACCAAAUGAACGCAAAAUACUUUUUUCGGCCAGAAAACUGUUUUCUGAGAUGUUUUCCAGAAAACCAAAGAUUUUCCGGAAAUAUUAGAGUAAAAUCUAUAAUAAGAAAUCAUUCUUUUAGUCUCUAACUCCAUUAAUCGCCGUAAACAAAGACUGAAUGGAUCGAUUCAAGAAUUAAUUGGUCAGCAGAAAAUUUUUUUUCCCAGUACGCAAUUUACGGAAUAAUUUUACAGAAUUUGUGACGUAAUUCUAGUGUUUCGACAAAUGCUGCAAAGAGGGUUUUCACUGCAAUGUUGAAUACAACAGGAAUAUCUGGUUUUGUUGAUGCAGAAGAUAACAAUAAAUCGAUAAAUAAAUAAAUUUCUGGAGUAUAAAAUAAAUUUUACUGCAGCAAAGAAAAGAUUUAUUAAAGAUAUGUGACGACUCGAACGCUAAACUCAUUGCAGGGGACUUCGAGUUAAACAUCGAAACUAAGUACGAAGAAUAUAAAAUGUCGUAAGAAGCAACUGAUUUCGAUACUUCUGAAGCAUUGGAAGGGGAAAUUUAAAUUCAUACCUUCCCAGUGGAGGCUCCAUAACCCGAGUAAUCGUAGCUGCAAAAUGUACCGUAAAACAAUAUUAAACACUGCGAAACUCGAUACUCAUUAUCCGAUAGCGAAAUUGUAAUGAGGAUCUCGAAUAAUAUAUAAUGCAAAUUUAGUAUGAAGCUCUUCACCCUAGUGUGUGUGUAUAUAUAUAUAAAUUUAGCUUAUGUUAAGUGUGUAUGGUGUUAUCGGGUAAAAUUUUUGUUGAAUAUGGUAAACACGUAUGAAACUUACCUGAACCAUGGACCAUUUGGAUUUGGCUAUCUAAUCUUUUAAAUUUAUUUGAUUUGAGUUAGCCAACGGCACUUUGACUUCAAAAUUUCAAUGCAUCGUUUAUCUCUACAGAUUUAAUUAGUAUAUUUCAUGUAAUUCUCACAGCUAUAAAUUCACUAAAGUAAUUAACUUUAAUUUUGGAAUCAAAAUACCAUUGACACUUUCUCACUUUAGUACCCUGUGGUUUAAAGUGUACUAAUUUAGUAUCCUGUGGUUUUAUUUUUAUUUUUUUAUUAUCGAUUCUACUAAUUUUUUUUGUUAAAUCAAUGACAAAGUUAAAACUAAAUGGUAUUAAAGUGAAUAUUCGAUAACUCUAGGUUGAGGUAUCUGAAGUUUUUUUUGCAUAUAAUUUAAUGAAAUAUUAACGGAAAAACGGAUAAAAAGAUAAAAAUCAAACCACUGGACAAUAAUUUGAUACACUUUAAAUUACAGAGUACUAAAGUGAGAAAGUGCGCAACCACGGGGGUGGUAUUUAAAGUUUACCCUAAAUAUUAGGAGUUUGUUGACAUUUAGCCUCAAAAUUUUCAAAAGUAAAAAUAAUAAUAAGAAUCCAACAACCCUAAAAAGAGAAAAGUCCACCACUCAACAAACAAAAUUAGACCACCCAAAGCAUAAUAAUUCUAAGAAAAAGGAAAAGAAGAACCAUCACAAAUAAAUCCUACAAAAACCAACCCAAAAAUCCCACCUCCCAAACCCCCCAAAAAAAAUCCACCACAAACAAAACAAACAAAAAACCCAUUAAAAAAAAGAAGAAGUAAAACAAGCCCAACAACAAAGAGUAUCAAAGAGCAAGAUUUAAGAUUUUAAUUAAAAACAAGAAAGAAUGAAAAUAAAAAUAAAAGAAACGAGAGAAAUGAAGAGAAAACACGUAGAACACCUCAUAUAUAGAAAACCAAUAAAACGAAAGAUAACUGAUCAGUGCUUUAAAAUUCGCACUUUUAUUAUUAUUAUUAUUAUUAUUAUUAUUAUUAUUAUAAAUGGUUAAACUAAUUACACGGUGUCCGCAGGGAGCCCCCCCGACCCACAUAAUAUUUUCCCGAUAAAAGAACAAAAAUAAAAAUAACAAACUAUAACAAGCCCAUGAAACAAGCUAAAAAUAACAAAAUAAAAUUUUUUUUAAAAAAAAAGAAUAGCGGCACAUCCAUCUCCAAGGAAAAAGCUAAAAAAAAAUAUAUUAAAAAAAAAAUUUCGCAGAGGAAAAAAAACGAUUAUCUACCGCCGCUUUAAAAUUCGUGACGCUUGCUAUUGCGAAUUUUGAAGUUUUUUUUCUUUUUCCUUAAAAGGAAAAUUCAUCUUAAGUUUUUAAGUUUUUCUUUUUUUUAAGCUUUUCUUAAGAGAAGAAGAAGAAGAAGAAGAAGAAAAGAGAAAUAUAUAGCACAUCCAUCUCCCCAAAAAAAAAAAAAAAAAGCAAAAUGCGAGAGAGCAGAGAGGAGCAGUCAGCAGCAGAAGAAGAAGAAGAAUGGCCAUGGCCGGGCGGGCGGCCGGCGGACGGCGGACCUCAUGAUGUUGACGCGGAGGUGGGCGCGGAGUUCGAGGAAGAGGUGGAGCAUCUGGCCGAGGUCGGCGGCGUUGCCGUGCGAGUAGAGCACCGUCAGCCGCGCCCCCGGGUGCCGCCAGAACGCCGCCACCACCCGUUCGCUCGCCCGCGGUCUCCACCGCCCGCACCUCCGCCUCCCCCUCCCCUCCCCUCCCCCUCCCCCUCCUUCCCUUCCCCCCUCCCCCCGACAUCGACAUCGACAUCGACGCCACCCGCAUCCGCCCUCCUCUCUCCCUUCCUCCUCCUCCUCUCCGCCGCCGCGCCGCCGCGCGCCCUCCCGAUACACCACCUCGUACGUCGCCGGCUCCGGCGGAAGAACGCGAACUUCGCCGCCACCGACGACGUCACGUUCCCCAUUCCUUCCCCCCCCCCCCCCUCUCUCUCUCUCUCUCUCCUUCGCGCGCACAAUGGAGAUGGAAUUGGGUCGAAUUGGAGAGGGGAUCCUCCCUCUCCCUCUCUCUCUCUCUCUCUCUCUCUGUUUUUUUUUUUUUUUUUUUUUGGGUGGGGGGUUUUUAGAGGUGACUAUUCUUGGUAGAGGAGGAAGGGGGCGGGGGGAGGGAGGGGAGGAAACGGAGACAGGUGGCGGGGGGAGAAAUUAGUAUAACCAUAAUAACAACUAUUAUUAUUAUUAUGGGUUAAUUGCAUACAGGUCCCCAUAAAUAUACUGAAUUGUAAAUUUCUUACUGUCAAGUUCAACUUUUAUAAAUUAUUCAUGCAAAGGUACUAAUAUUUUCAGAUAUGUUCCUCUGGUUUGUUAUCGUUAAAGAAUCGUUCAAAAACUAUUUAUAUUUCCAAUUUUUCCAUCAUAAAUAUAUCUCUUCAAAAGUUAUAACAAUAUAGUAUAAGAGGGAUAAAAAUAUCAAAAAUUAAUCCGGAUAAAAUAUUUAACAUAUGGUUAACUAAAACUUUUAUAACGGAUUCUAACGGUAGGAACAUAUCUUAAAACAUUAAAACUUUUGUAGGGAUAACUUAUGAAAAUUAAACUUUACAGAAAUAUAUCUGUAAUUCAUUAUGCUUACAGAGACCUGUAUGCAAUUGACCCUAAUAACUAUUACUGUUAUUAUUAGUUAUUAAUAAUGAGUACGUUUCCUACGCUUUCACAAAUACGGAGACCUCCACUUGUAAACUAUUUUCAAUAAUGAGAUAUUCGAUUCGACAAUCGGCUUAGAUAAACAUAAUUUACGUUAUUAUAAUUAUUUUAAAAUUAAAUUUUAUAGUUUUUCGACAUUAUUUAGUGGAUCUCAAAAAUAACUAUUUUAAUGGCAGAUGUGGCACGUUUAUAAAUUUAACGGACGAUGUAGAUAAUUUAAAUUAUAUAAAAUUUUAAUAAAAAAAUUUACUUAACAUCAAAGGUAAGAUUAAUACUUUUGAUUGAAAUUCGAAUCUUUUAUCAUUACUUUUUGUGAGAUUUUUAUUUUUAGCCGUUCAUUUUGAGGCUACUCGUUCGCUAGGCAAACAAAGUUUAAAAAAAUAUAAAAUUUAGUUUAUAAAUAGAUCUAAUAGUGUAGAUCAUAUUUAACGGAGCUGAUCGUUGAAUUAUAUGUUUUAUUCAUCGAAAACAACUUACAAGUACGAAGGCCAUAGUAUUUUUUGAAAGUGUAGGAGCACAAAUCAUUUAUUAAUUAUUAUUAUGAAUUGAGUUAGUUUACUAUCGAUAGCAGUUGAGCUCUUAUACUUUUCAAAGCACCGGAACUCAACGUAUACGUAAUUGUUUAGAUAUCGGAUAGGCGAAAGAUUCAUGCAGUAUUAGUAAAAAAAAACUUAAUGAGGCAUAUCGUUAAUAGUACUACACGGAUCUUAAGACAAUCCGAUAGCUAAAAAGUUAUAAACUCUAAUACUCACAAAAGCUCAACUCCUUUUGAUUUUAUAUGAAUAGCAUUUACUAUCUAUUAUUGGCUAUUGGAUUAUUACUAUUCUACCUAUUACCACUCAACUCUAGAUAUCAAAUAUUAAAAAAAGAGUAAAAAAUAUUAGGGUUAAUUUCAUACAGGUUUCCGCAAAUAUGAUGAAUAGCAGAUAUAUCUUUACAAAGUUCAACUUUCAUAAAUUAUCAUUACAAAAGUCUUAAUUUAUUCAGAUAUGUCAAUCUGGUUAAGAUCAGUUAGAAAACUGUUAAUUUUUUAUAGCAGAGAUGUGAAAUGACAAUUUUGUCCUUAUCCUCUUCCUUUUCCUCUUUCUCUUCCGGCUUGGGAGCGGACGGCAGCGUCAGCGACGACGACCUUGUGGAGUUUGUCGGGGUUGCGGCCAACGGGGUUGCGGAGCUUGUCGGGGUCACGGUGUGGCCGAUGCCGUCGAAGGCGCCCGUGAUGACGACCCACGUGGGCACCACGACGGUGACAACGAUCGGAUUAUCGACGACGACGACGACGAAGAAGAAGGAGGAGAAAAGGAGGAGAAAAAUGAAGAUACGAAAAAGAAGAGAAGAAGAAGAAGCAUGAGAGGAAGAGGAAGAGGAAGAGGAAGAAGAAGAAGUAGGAGAGGAAGAUGAAGAAGGGUAAAAAUAUCAUUUUACCUUAUUAACUGAUCAUGGUUAAGUAUUUUAACUGUAGUUAACUAGAUUUUUCUAAUAGAGAUUAACGGUAUGGACAUAUCUGAAUGCAUUAGAACUUUUGUAGGAAUAACUUAUGAAUGUUGAACUUUGCAGGAAUAUAUCUGCUAUUUACCAUGUUUGUAGGGACCUGUAUGAUAUUAACCCAAAAUAUUAUUUUCCAACUAUCAAUAGAAUUCCAGCGGCAUUCUUAUUAUUAUUACAUAUGAUUUUGGGGGGNNNNNNNNNNNNNNNNNNNNNNNUAUUUCGUGAACUUCACUUCCUAAUCUUACAAAUACUUUUUUUGUUUUUAAUAAGAUCUACAAAGUCUUAUAUCACAGAAGUAUUAGACGUCUAUAUAAUCGUACAAUAUUAAUUAAACAUAUAUAUUCAGUUUUUGUCAUAUAUUUAAAUAUUCAGGUAUUAAAAAUAUUUUUAAAUUUUUUUUUUAACUCUCUUUCCAUCGUAUGAUGGGUGUAACAAUAAAAAAGUCUUAAUUUAAAUUGAUUUUUAUAUUUUAUUGAUCCGAAGCUUGAACCUAGGAACCUAGGGUUGGUAGUUUAGGAGACGGUGAAUGCAAACGCUCAAACGCUCAGUUUUUUCGUAUCUUAGUGUUUUCGUAUCUUAAUUUAUCUUUCAUAUUUUUUUAAAAAAAUCUUUUCUCUUGGCUCUUUUAUCUUAUUUUGAGACAUAUAUGCGUAAAAGUAAAGUAGUGAAAUUAUUGUUUAGGUUAAAAAGAGCAAGAGAGGGUAAAUUGUAAUAUUGGGAUUGUACAGGGGGCUUUAUGUAUAAGUAGUACUAGUAAGAGAGAGAGAGAAAAGAGAGUGAGAGAAGAGAGAGAGAGAGAGAGAGAGAGAGAGAGAGAGAGAGAGAGGGGUUGGGUAAAAUGGGAAAAAAACGUGAUGAUGAGCUGGAACAACUCAGAAGCCAAAACCCAGGAGUUGGAUCUUUCACUUUCCCCCACUCUCCUUUUCUUUCUUUCUUUCUUUUUUUUUUUUUUUUUUUUUUUUUUUGGUUUUUUUUUUUUAUUUAUUUUUGUUUGUUUCCUUGCUACUGGAUUUUGUGCUCUAAUAAAUAAUCUAAACAAAGUACUGCUAUGAUAAUUAAUUUGAGUUUUAAUUGCAUCCACAGUGUAUAAUGUGCAAAAUUCUGCAAGCAAAAUUAAGGGAAAACUCCAAAUACCCUCAUUGUGGUUUCACUUUUUCUCACUUUAGCACCCUGUAGUUUAAAGUGUAUCAAGUUAGUAUCCUGUGAUUUCACACUUUUUCACUUUAGUACCCUGUGGUUUCGCACUUUAUCACUUUAGUAUCCUAUGGUUUCUCACUUUAUCACUUUAGUACUCUGUGGUUUAAAAACCACAGGGUACUAACUUGAUACAAAAAUAAAACUAUAGGGUACCAACUUGAUGCAAAAAUAAAACCACAUAGUACUAAAGUGAUAAAGUGAUAAACCACAGGGUACUAAUUUGAUAUAUUUUAAACCACAGGAUGCUAAAAUAAAAAAGUGUGAAACCACACGGAUUUUUUUUGAAGUUUUCCCCAAAAUUAAUGAGAAUAUGUAUGACACAAUCACAUUUUUAGUUUUAUCCGACUUUAGAAUUAUGUUGAUCUCUGAAUAAUAUAAUUCACAGUUGCUUCAACCCUGCAGUUUUCACUUCAACCCAAUUUUCAUUCAAACACUAUUUUUCUUAUCCCCAUACUUGUACCUAUUCCUGUAAUAACUAGUUCUUAUUUAUACCCGAACCAAACGGCACCUUAGUAUAAGAGCUCAACUCUAUAUAUAGUGUAAUUGUAACAAUACUUGGCCUACUGUAAAAAACAGUAUCGUCUGAAAAAAAAAAAAUAUUAUUAUUAAAAAUAAAAAUAAAAGUGAAGCACAAACUUAUAUUGUAAUAAGUGUUUGAAAAUCUAAAAUUACAAGAGUUUUUUUUUUCUUUUUUUCCUUCUUCUUCAUAAAAAAAAUAAAAAAAUUUUAAAAUUAGGGUGGUGGGGAACGAGAACCUCAAGACAAAAAAGGACACGGAGAAGCGUAGAAGCGAAGGUUUAUACACAUAUUUCUAAAAGCAAAGUACGAAAUAGAAUUAAUUUUAUUUUAAAAAAGCAAAAAAUAAACAAUAAUAAACAUCAUACUUUAGUAGAGCUUUGAUUAAUAACAAUUAUCUGAACAUUUAAUUUUAACAUAUCCUAAUAUUGUUGAAAAAAAAAAGAAAAUUACAAACGUCAAACUAUAGAGCUUUGAUUAAUAGUUCUUCGAACGCUUGAGUUUAAUUAAUAAUUAAUUUUUUUUAAACUUGAUUUUUUAUGUAGUUUUCGAAAAUUUGAAAAUAUUGUGAAACAUGUCUUUCCUAUUAUAAACUUAAAAAAUUACAUUAAAAAAUAAUGUUUGUUUUCUUCUUCAAUUAUAAUACUUAAUUUUCAUCUGUAAGAUUUAAAAAAGCUUUUUUUUAUUUACAAAAUUGUCGAAAGAAUAUGUUGAUAGCUUCAAAAUAUUUAUAAAUUAUUAAAAAAUUAAUUAGAUAUUUGUAUCACUAUAUUUUUUUCAAAAUAAAUGAAGGAUAAAUUUCAAAUAUCACCCUUAUAAUUUUGCACUUUUUCAUUUUAGUACUCUGUGGUUUAUUGUGUAUCAACUUAGUACUCCGUGUUUUUAUUUUUUUUUUUUUUCGUCGUCAUCUUCAUUAACUUUUCAUUAAAUCAUAUAUAAAAACCUUCAGAUAUCUCAUCUAUAAUUUAUCGAAUAUUCACUUUAGUACUUUUUAGCUGAAAAAAAAUAGUAAAAAUGAUAACAAAAAGAGAAAAAUAAAAUUACAUAGCACGAAAGCGAUACGUUUUAAACUAUAGAAUGCUAAAGUGAGAUAAUCUGCAACCACAGAGAUGGUAUUUGAAGUUUUUUUAUAAAAUAAUAAAUGAAGAGUGCGCGAAUCUCGAUGCGCAUGGACGGCCGAGAUGCGGUCAAAGGCCGGGGGGGGGGCAGAUCUGGGAGUAGGGACGAGGAAGGGAGAAGGUGGCGUCAGACAUUCUCGGCGGUGGUUGCUGUAAAAAGGCAUGUGAAUUAUGCCUGCUUUUUUUAAUUUUUAACCACCCCAAUAAUUCACUUCAUAUGCUUGAGCCCUUUUUUUUUUCUUUCUUUUUUUUAUUUUUUAUUUUCUAAUCUUUAGAGGUUGAAUUUGUGAUUUGAAAAGAAAAAAAAAUCGUAUGCGUCAGUAUUUAUUUUGACACUGAAAUCACAAGAUCAUCAACAUUUUUUCUCAUAAUUGUAUGAGGAUCGGCCUUUCGACUUCAAUGUAGAGUUUGUGAAACUCAGAAAUACUCCAGUCCUCCGACUUCUUGCGGCCAAAUAGAUUUUAAUAUAAUUUUUUCAGAGUCGCCAGGUAAAUAAAAAUUUCUUUUUUUAUUAAAUAACUCAUUUUUUAUUAGUACCGGAGAUGGAGAGAAUACAUAUCAAUUUGUUUUAAAUAAUUUAUUUUGUUUUCUAAACUAGUUUGUUUUUAUUUUUUUGAAAGAGAAUGAUAACAUGCUACCUAUUUCAUUCAAUUUUUUUUAAAAAAUAAAAUUAAGAACUAAGAAUGUGAAGCAACUAAGUCUCGAAUUUGAAACCUCAUGUACCGACAAUUAAAUCUUUUGUCACUUGUUAUAGGAGGGUUGGUUAGAUCAAUUUACAUUUAAACUCUAUGAAUAAAAAAAAAAAAAUAUAUCGUUCUUUGAUAAGCAUAAGUUUUUUGAGAACAUUAGUUAUUUUAUAUAAUUUAAUAUUAUAUCAUAGCAGAAAAUUCUAAAUUCGGAUCUUUUCCGACUUCUAGCAUAAUUUAUUUUUUUCUUAUUUAAUUUAAGCCCACAUUCUGAUACUUUUAAAAAAUUUUGAAUCUAGACGUGGAAAAUAAUAUUAAAUAUAAAUAUUAUAAAUAUCAUCUCUACUAACUCAAAUUUAUAAAAAAAAAAUAAAAAAUAAUUUCAUAUAAAAUAUAACUUUUUCUUUUGGGUCCAAACCCUGCUGUGUGUUGUACUUGCUGAAUCACAUGCCUUUGACCAACUCAAAAUCAUGUUCUCCAAUGCUAGGCUAAAGAACAACAAAGUGACUAAACAUUGGUUAUGCAUGUAUAUAUACAUCUUUGGACUCUGUGUGUGCCCCCUCACAAGGGGAAUGAUUGGUUCCAACUUUACCAAAAGAUGUUCAUUUUGGUACCACCAAUAACUUUUCUCUUCCUACUUCCUUAUUCUCUCACUACAUAAAUUUUUAGGGGGUAAAAAAGAACCCUUUAAAAAUUAAUAUUGUUGUUUAGCACUGUAAACUUAAAAAGUUUAAUGCAUUUGUUAACUUGUCAUUCUAUAAAAAAACAUUUCUCAAUUAUAUAUAACCAAAUAAAAUAUAUAUCUAUACUUAACAAAAUGCUUGUAAUUGUAACUACUAUAUUUUUAACAGUAUGUUAUUUUAGCUGCACUGUAUUUUCAAUUACACAAACCAAUUAUGGCCCCUUAAUAAAGAAUCAUGAAUUUUUCCUCUUAUAAUAUUCUCAUCCUUUUUGAAAGCAGCGGGACAGUAAAAUGCAGAAUAUGAUAUAGAAAAGUGUUAUAUUAUAUUGCUCAAUAAUUUUCAAAAAGUAUCACUUUACUAUCUUAUUUGACAGUAGACUCUUAAGUGAAACUGAAAAAGACAGAGAGAAAUCACAGUAUAUUUAAAUGUAACUUUUAAACCCACACGGUGACAACAUGAAAUUAUGCUAAACCUCGGAGAGGUGAAGUGAAGUUUACUCAUUUAGAAAACAAAUAUACUUUAUCUUUUCGCAAGUUAGUAACGCCUGUGAACUUUUCAUUAGUUAUAAUUUAUAUAAAAAUUGAUAUAUCCUGCAAUUGAAUUUAAAUCUACAGUUUAGAUUUUUGGAUUGAAUGAGUUUUGAGCACGCGGGGGUUUCAGUCCAUGCAAAAAUAGUCGAAUGAAUUUGAUAAUUAAGCUAGUAAAAGAUUAUUUUAGAUGCCCAAUUGGUACACUAUAUUCUUGUGAAAAUACCCAUUUUAGGAGGAUUUGUUGACAAAUAUGCUCUUGUAAAUGAAUUUAGUGUUUGAGGUAUAAAAGAUUUGGUCAAAAUGGAUAGUCAUCAAUGUAUAUGUGUAGGGUUUUAAUCUUUGAAAUUAGGGGUUUUGGGACCACACCCAUGAUUUUGUGCAGUAGCCCCACUUUCCAACAUUUCCUGAUGUGGAUGGGAUUUGACUUUGGUCAAAGGGAUAAAGAGAUUGGGUCAACAUUGGGUUGGAUUGCUUGUGAAAGUUUGUGCCCUAAAUUUGACAAAAGAGUUUUUCUUUUUCCUCUAUGUGUACACCAAAAGGUACCUCCAGUGUAGUCUAUGAGCCAGAUUUAUGCUUUAGCAUUUAUAUUUUAGCAUUCUAUAAUUUUAUAUACUUCAAUAAUCUCACAUUAGAUAAUAUAGAAUAAUACAGAAGAAAAUGAGGAACUUAUAUGUGAUGGAUACACUAGUAAUAAUAAUUGGACUAAAGUAUUUUAGGCUGGUGGUUCGGACAUAACGGAGUUAUUAGUACUAGUGGAUUGGGUCGUUAUAACACGAGUAGUUCUAAACUAAUUGAAAUUAUGUAUUAACACAAAACUGACUCGUGAUACCUAGUCAUUACUAUUAACCGAAUGUUAAUUUACAAAGUGAUCAAAUAAUAACUAUGAGACCCAAUCAUAACUAUUAAACCUAAUGUUAAUUUACAUGGUGAUUAAAACAGUAACUAUGAGGUAGUUAAUUAAGUACAAGAAACAAACUACAAAAUAAUAAAGCGCGCAUGGGCUAAAUCACAAUGCAGAUAUACAAAAUUUUUGCAUUCUAAAAUGUUGAACCACUCUUCGUAGGGUUCAAACUCAACAUGAUCAAAUAAUAACUACGCAGUAGUUAUUAAGUACAAGAAACAAACUACAAUAUAAUAAACUGCUCAUGGGCUAAAUCACAAUACUGAUAUUCGAAAUUUUUGUAAUCUAUUUUUUUAAAGAGAAAUGUAGCAUGCUAUUCGCUUCGUUUUUCAUUUAUUUUUUAAAAAAUAAACUUAGAUGAAAAUGUGAAGCAACUAGGCUUCGAACUUGGGACUUCGGGUAUCAACCACCAAGCCCUUUGUCACUUGUGCUAGGGACGGUCGGUUGUAACCUAAAAUAUUGAACCACUGCACCACUUUACCACUGGUUUUUAGCACAGGGACCUAGUAGUAGUAGUAACUAAAAGAAAACAAUAGAAAAAAAAAAGAGAGUAUAUGUUAGGGUACAGUUUAAUGUAACCCUAGCAAUAGUUUAAAAAUAAAAAGAUAUUGUGUGUGGCAGAGAGAGAGAGAGAGAGAGAGAGAGAGAGAGAGAGAAGAGAGAGAGAGGGUGAGGGAGUGUUGUGAUGGGCUCAUGCAGUUUUUAGGGUUUUGCACCUCCUGCAAUGAUUGGGUGGGCCAUGUGACCUUUUUUGCUGUUGUAGGUAUCUAAGCCAGCAAAGCUGAGCCACUCCCUCCUUAGCUCUCACUCCUCCCACCACCAAUCCUAGCUGUUUUCAUAGAUCCCCUCACCUUCAUAAGAUAUUCCCCCCACCUUUUUUUUUUUUUUUAACCCUCAUGUUUGUUUUUUUUUUUGGUUUUAGAUUUUUUAUUUUUCCCAUAUAAUGAGAACUAUGUUUAGCAUCACCCUCCUGUUUUUUUUUGGUUUUAGAAUUUUCUCUUUUUUUUUUCCAUAUAAUGAGAACUAUUUUUAGCAAUGAUUUUAGUUAGGGUUAAUUACAUUGUAUUAUACUAUACUUUACAAAUUAUUUUUUUAUUUUUUUUGUUGUUGUACUAUUAUUCUUUAGAAAGACACCAUUCAACUAUUUUUUUUUUUUUUCAAUUCCUAUGUUGUGAGCAACGAAAUUAUAUUUUUAGAUAAAAAUUGUUAAAAAAUACUGGUUGAAAAUGACAUAAACAUAUGGUCAACUUGUUUUUAACACAAAAUAACAAAAUACGUAAAUAUAGUAAAAAAUAAUUAAAAAUAAUUUGAUAGAAGCUUCAUUAGUCUAUUAUGAAACUUCAUUUUAUAUUUUUUUCCUACUAUUUAACUAGUGCCUAUUAAUAAAGUUUUUAGAUUUUGUCUAAAAUAAUAGAUGUGUAAACAGUAAGUAAUGUAGAGAUUGACGAGAAAAAAAAAUAGUUUAGUGAUAUUUAAAAAAGAAGAGAAUAGUAUAAAGUAGCAAAAUGAAAAUAAAUCUAAAAUACAGUGUAAAGAAUGAUAAAAUAUAAUAAUAUAAUAGUGUCUUUGCAAAAAAAUAUAAAUUAUAUAAUGUAGCCAAUACAAAAAAAACACUAGAGUAAUGUGUAGUAGGGUGUGAUUAAGCCUAUUAGUUUUUAUAAUAUUAAUUGUUUUUGGAUAGAGAUAAUAUGAAUUUGUCGAAAUAAAUGGUUAGCCAUGGCCAUGGAGAUAGAGCAAUUUUACCAUAUUGCAAAAUUACUAUUUUUGGAGAUAAACUUGAUAUUAUAAGACUUAAAUCCCAAGCGAGAUGGAUAACAAGUAUGUUUAUUUCUUUAUUUUCCGACCAAAAUAUAAUUGUUAAAAAUAAGGGAUAGCAAGUAUAUAUAUCUAUUACUAUAAUAAAAAUGCAAAAUAUAAUUGUCAAAAGUAAGAGUAACUAAUGCUGAAACACAAAGAUUAUAAGUUCAGAUUAUGCCAAAUUUUCAAGUAUAAACUAUAAAGCAAUCGAAUUGGAAUUACUAAAAGAAGGAUAAAAAAAAAAAAUUAUCUGAACAUUACAGUGACCAAAAUACAGUUUUGUAUAUAACUUAAAUAAAGAUGUUUCCUUACAAGUUACAACUAAGGGCAUUUAUUCCCUUCAAUUCAGAAUCAAUAUACAACACGAUUAUCCGACUCGUAUUUUCAGUUCUGAUCACUUCAAUUAGUAACAGAAAAAAGAGGCAGCAAAUGGGGCUGCCUACGGAUUCGUAAACAGUACAGUCUCCUGCUCGACUUCAACCCUGGUGCCAUCGACUAAAACCCAAACCUCGGAAACUUUUUCCACCCUCCGAUCGAGAAUAUUUACUAAACUGAACGCCCGUGAUGUUCCGUUUGUGAACUCCGAAUUCUGGCUUGUUUGUCCCGAUUGUUUCACUCGCGGCACGAUUGCCCCAUUCAAGUACAACGUUCCGUUAGCGCUGAGAACGAGCAUCUUCCUUAGAGCAUCCCCGUAUGCUAGCUUUUUAUGCAUGUGGCCGAACACGACUAACGGGAUCGAAAUUUGGGUGUCUUUUUGCAAGUCUGAAAGGGCUUGAGCCAGAUCUGUAUGGAAUUUAUUACAUUAUAAAUUGUCGACAUUGAAAUGUCGAUGAGAAUGGAAAGAGCAAAAAUAAAGUAAAAGGAGUAUACCUGGAUCGCCAUGGUCGCCACCCCCGAAUACCCAAUCCUUCCCACAGAUAUCGUCUACUUUCGAGCCUAGACCUGGAGAAUGAAAGUAAUAUGAUCGCGAAUAAUUUGAGGUCUGAGCUUCUUCAAACUGUUUUCCAGUUGAGCUGUUCAAAGAAAUUCUACCAACUGUGCUGUUAAAAUCCUCCAGUGCCUUCGCACUGCAGUGGAAGCAGAAACUUCAAAUUGAAGCUUCUGAUUUUGGGUCGCAAAAACACUUUUCAGCUUCUGCUCAUGGCAAAAGCUCAAUACUGUCAAUCCAGCUGUAGCUUCUCCGAAUAGAGCAGCUGUCCAAAAAAGCCAAGCGCGAAAGAGGCACAUGGACUUAAUUUGGGAACGCGUUCUCCAAGUGAUGCCAUUUUCAUGCUUUAUAGCCCCCCUGGAAGAAAUGAAAGCGGUUUGGAGGCGAGAAUCUCUAGGGAAGAAGAAUCAAGUUUUUCCUCCAUAGCACCAGAGGAGCAGAGCUCCAAAGUGCUUUCAGAUUUUUUGGGAGCUCUUAAGAAUAAUAGCCGUGUUUGGAGAACACAUUCAAGCCUUACUCAGUUACAGUAAAUCGGUGCAAUUUAAUUUAUUGGAAAACCUGUAGGCCCAUUGUGUGCAAGAAAUAUGACGAAGUGCUCCUCCGGUGUUCCUAUCGCUGCUUCAUAUAUUUUCUUUGCACUCUCUUCCAUAUCAUUGACACCAUAUCUACACAAAAAAGUGGCGAGACAGUUUUUCAAACAAAUGUCAAACCAUACUUGCUUUAUGCGACUAAUUACAAUACUUACUUUCACUGGGUUAGUGGAUAUUCACUGUAAAUAGAAGGCUUAAAUCAGAAAACAAGCAACCUUGCUUAUUAAAAGAUACACCUCGAUAUGUCAACGCAUGAUCAUGCAUUAGGAAUCUUUAAACAGCUUUGCACAAAAGCCGUUAAUUAGGAAAUCCUCUAACCUCAAUACUGCGAAAAUUUUCUGAGCACCAAAUCCAAUGCGAGAGUUUCUAAAGACUAAAGUUCAUCCAACUUCCUUUCUUUUAGGCUAGAUAUGCUAGGAACUAAGAAUCAAUAACCUAAAAAGCUUACAGGUGAUGAAAAAAUCACAUUGAAAACAUAAGCGACGAAACCUAAGACUACCGGCACAACCAAAGCAUCUAUCCACUUGAUGCAGGUUUAUGUUGUUCAGCAAGAACUCCAAGCAAAAAACAAUAAUACGACGAAGAUCAAGUAGAGGAACUGGAUUAGCUAAACAUGCAUAUUCCUCCAUGCUGAAUCGACUUAUGCUGUACCAACCUUGCAGAAAGCAGCUUUGGCCUAAAUAAUCGGUUGCCUCCACAAGAGAAAGGUCGCCCACCAACAACACUGAACUUCAUUGCCCGAAAAUCCAGGCGCCGGUAUCCAACAUGCUCUUCACCAAGACUGGUUAACGAGACCAUACACAAUUAUUAAUCAAUAACACUAUAAAACACCGUAAAACAUAUCAUAUCAAUGUUUGCAGUCACCACUUCUGUAAUGUUAUGAAAAAGACUCGCAUUUACUCUAAUUACGACCGAUUGAGAAUCUUCGAGGAAAGGUUGGAGCCAUAAGGCAUCUUUCCUCAAACAAAUUUUAAGGAUUACAUAUCAAACUUCUUCAUCUUUUUUAACAUGAAGUUACUUACGAAUGCAGAAUAUAACAUUAAACAGGUGCCUGACAGAACUUCAACUAACAUAGAAGAAAAUCAGAGAUCCACAGUAGAUUACAAUUGUGAAAAUUAACAUAAAAUAUGAUUGACCAAAACAAUUCUUUUUGAACAUGAAGUUAUAUUUCUUAGUACCAUUCCAACUGAAGCUGGACACGAUCCGCUUUCCUGAAAUCAAGUAAAAUACAUCAUGAGCUGCAUUAAUUAUCUUCUUCUAACAUGUGAACUUUUGGCUAUGAUAUCGCACACUCAUUAUACAAACAUGAAUCUUACUUCUGUGAGAACUGAUGAGUAUUCCAGCAGUCAUGGUUUCCUAGAAUGGCUGCUUUAGGGAUUUUAAUAUUUGAUAUGCUUUUAACAAGUUCAACAUUCUCAUUCCCAUAAUCACCUGUCAUAGGGGUGAGAGAGAGAGAGAGAGAGAGAGAGAGAGAGAGAGAGAGAGAGAGAAGCAAUGAGAAGGUUAUAAUUUUACAAUACAAAGUAAAUGCAAGGGAGACCAAACAGAGAAAAGACAAUACCUGUAAACAGAACCAGAUCAGGCUGCAUUCACAUUAGACACAAGUCAGAAUUUCUGUCGUCUGACACAAGAAGCAAGAAACAGCAACAGAAAGUUCAUCAAAAACAUUUAGACAAAAUAUAAGAUGCAAUCUUUGGACACAUAUUCGAAGGCGUGUUGUGGGGAACAGAAACUUUAAAGAUGCUACUUUACUUAGAUAGUUCUUUCAGAGAAUUAUUAAGCUGAUCACUUAAGAUGACUAUUGAAUGAACUUACAACGAAAGCAAAAGUGGCUUUUCCAACCAGUAUGUUUUCCAACCAGUAUGCUUCAAGAAAAUUAUUCAUGAUAAAAGUGUAUGAGAAUGCACUAAACUGGAAAAACCUAUUUACAAAUAACCUAUAGUUGGAGGGACGUAUGUUAUCUAAUAGAUCCCAAUAAACUUGUCAUAAUAAAUAUGUAACCAAUACAUAACUAGAAAUAUAAUUUACUAACGACAUGACGUUAAAGAAUAAUAUAUAUUUUUAGGGAACAAUGCCAUAAUUCUAGAACAAAUAGUUAUUAGUCAAUAAGCAUGCACGACAUGCAUACUAAUCCAAAAGAAUAAAAGCCUUUUGAACCGUGAUUACCUGUAGAAGAUGCAGGGCCUUUGAAUCUUCUUCUAAAUCCCAAUCAUCAUGCUAAACAAUCCAAGAACGACAAAAAUAACAAAGUGAGUUCUUUGCCUCGAAUCAACUAGUACUUUUCCGUUAAUUAGAUAUUCCUACUUACAAAACAUGUAGAGGAAUUCUGUAAUCAAGACAUGCAACAAAUGUCAGACAAACAUGACCCUAUUCUCGCAAAUCAUAAGAUAAGCACAAGUACAGAGCUAUAGCACCAAAAUGCCAGAGCUGAGUGCAGGACCAAGAUACAAAUGGUUUAGAUUUGAAGCUUAGGAAUCCAAUUGGUGCAACAGGAACCAGAUUGAGAUCUAGAAUUUUAGUCUAAGCCUUUCAAAUCUACAAUAGUUUGUCGUUGCUGUAUAUCAAACUAGCUUAAUAUGUCAGCAAAUAUACGUGUGAACUCGGCGACUUUAAAAGGUAUCCAAGAUGGCAAAGGAAAAGAAAGCUGUUAUGCAGAUGUAUAUACUCAAGAUAGUGAUAACUUGAACCCUUAUACUGCUCACCCUAUUCUGAAAUCACUCUCAACUCCAAUUAAACUAGUGGUGGAAAAAACUCCAAUAACCAUGCAUUUAAAAUCUGGCUUCAAGUGAAAACAGUACACGAAUUUGGGUGGGAGUAACUCAAAGGACAAGUGAGAUUUGUUUAAACUCAAAAGAAGGUAUCAAAAUCUAUAAGAAUGACACAUUGCAGUUGUUAAGCAGAAUCGAAAUCCAAUCAUAAAGCUGGUCAUUUCUCACUGAAAUUGCGGUGUAAUCUAGCCAUUCUCAUAUAUAUAAUGGUUAUAUACGAUGAUCCUACAAACAAUGAUUCUUGCAACAUGAUGAAUAAAGUGCUCGGUGCCCAAUUCAGCUAUUCCAAUCUACUCAAGGAACUAAGAGCAUUUUAACUAGUAGUAUCACUCAACUUCCAUGGGUUCAAGUACAUUUAACUAAGGUUUCAUCAGAAUCAAUUAGUAAAGUUAACUCCAUCUGUAACAGGGAAACUACUAUAAACUUCAAUCAAAGAAAUUAAUAUGAGCCAGAAUUUUGUAAGGAAAAAUCAUCAUAAGUUAAAAAGUCAACUCCAAACGCCCAAUUCUGGUUAAAAAAAAAAUCCACCAAAGGUCAAAUUUUGAGAUUGAAAAACCCAUAAAAUACCCAAAAUCUCACAUACCCGCAUGCAAUAUUUCGCCGCAAAACACAAAUCAAAUAAAACCCAAUAAAAAUUCCUCAAAAAUUAGGAAACGGGUAAAGGAAGGGGGGUCGGAUCGAGCAAAAGCAACACCAACGAUCGAAUUUUGAGUUCAAAAAACCCAUCAAAACCCCCAAAUCUCACAUACCCAGAUGCAGUUCUUCGCCGCAAAACACAAACAAAAAAUUCCUCAAAAAUUAGGAAAGGUGGGGAGGGAUCGGUUCACGGAGCUCACCACGUCGCCAACGACCGCGAUGCGAAGGGAGCGCGACAUGGCGAGGGUUGGGGCGAGGUUGGAGUACGCGAGAGGAGACGAAGACGAAGACGAAGAGGCGGAGCAGAGGAGGAGAGGUGGAGGAGGAGCGGUGUGCGUGUAUAGCCUCAACGCCCACGACCGUAGCAUUUGUAUAGUGUGUGUAAUAUAUAUAGUAUAUAUGAAAAAGAGUUGUGGUUGCGGAGGAGACUCUUUCAUUUGCUAUGGAAAAUUCAUCGAAGAGAUUGGAAGAGGAGUCAGCGUUCGUUUCUUCUUGGGGUACUUUGCAUUUGGCCCCUCAAUUUUCUUUUUUUCACAAAUAGACGCAUCAAUUUUAUAAUUAUAAUUUUGAUCCUAUUCCUGUCACGCAAGCAUCACGUUAGUACCACGCGAGUAGGAUGGGGGCGGAGUGGCAAGUUAUUCCUGUCAUGCAAGCGUCACGUCAGUACCACGCGAGUAGAGUGGGGGCAGAGUGGUAAGUUAAACACAGUAAACCAUUCAUCGUGUUCAGUGGUUAUACUCACCUCGCGCUCAAGUAAUAUAAUACACUAGACAUGAUGAACCAUAGACACGGUGAAUGAAUUACUACAUUUAACUUAUUUCACACUCUCCAUCUCUGUUCGCGUGGCGUUUACGUGGUGUCUGCGUGGCGUGGAUAGGGACAAAAUUAUAAUUAUAAAAUUGGUGGGCCUAUUUGUAAAAUUUUUUUUGAAGAGGCCAAAUACAAAAAAAAGCUUAAAAUUGUGAAAUUUAGUUUUUAUUAAAUUUAAAUAGUUUGAAUCAUACUUAAUCCUUGAUUUAGAUACUCCUUCACCAAAAAAUUAUGCAGAAAUAAAUCUCCCCAUUUACUUCUAAAAGUACUUUAACCUAACUCUAUUAUUAUUAUUAUUAGUACGAGGAGAGCUACUAUAAUAUUGAAAGCAUUAAGAAUCCAUUGUUUCCAAUUUUUUGGCUCUUUAAAUCAAUUUUUUUGAUCAUUUUUAAUCUUUGGAUCAAUAUUUUUAUCUUAUGAAAACCACUCAAUCCUAGAAGGAAACGUUAUCAUUCCAACCGUACAAUCCUUAAUCCAAGGGCCAAAAAAGUUGGAAACACAAAGUCCUCUAUAUUUCUGAUAGUAUAGUAGCUCUACACUUAUUAUUAUUACUAUUAUUGUGGCUAUAAGCCUUAAUAUUUAGAACUUUUUAUUUCCGACAUUAAUCUGAGACCCGAAAUUUUUCUGAUCGUUAGAUCUGACACAAAGUUUCAGCCCAACCUCCCCCUUGAAAUUUGUAUAUUAGCUCAGCGGUAUUUUGCAAGAGCAGCUCCGAGAAGUUGGGCUUAGGGUGCGAACACAAGCUUCAAAUUUAAGCUUAUCUGGGCUCAUGGUUGGCAUCUAAGGUACCGUUUGAUUCGGGUAUAAGUCAAGAACUAGCUAUUACAGGGAUAGGUACAAGUAUGGGGAUAAAAAAAAUAGUGUUUGAAUGAAAAUUGGGUUGUUUUCGGGGAUAAGAACAAUUUUAGAUAGUUUUAUAUAGAAAAUAGAGGUGUUGGUGGGGAUAACCGAGAACUACUAUUCUCGAAUAAAAAAUUAGCAUUUAGGUAUAAAGGGGGGAUAAUGGCCUACUCCUAUUCCUAUCUCCUAACCAAACGCUGCCUAAGUAUUUUAACAGCUAAGCUACAUGUGUGUUUUUUUGGAAUAAUUGCCUACGUUUAAAAUUAAAUAUGCGAUUUACCCUUACUUUUUUUUCUUUCUAAAAUAUCCCUCAUAUGUUCCACCGUUAUUGCAAAAUACCUCCGCAAUUAUCCCAUGUUAAGUUAACUUGGGUUAAACGUGAGUUAAAUAUCUACCAUAGUUAAAAAAAUUAAAAUACCAAUUUUGCCCUUAACUUAAGGGCAAAUAAAAAAUAUUGGUGACGGUAGAGGGGUUUAUUGGAAAAGAACAAAAGUCAAAAUACUUUUUGUGCCCCUGACUUUAAGAGCAAAUAAGAAAGUCAAUGAUGGUGGAAAGGUAUAUUUGAAAGGGCAAAAUAGUAAUUUUACAGAAAUAACAGAGUUAAUUAACAGAUUUUAACUCUAGGAAUAUAUUAGAAAUAGGUUGGAACGUAGAAAAGAUAUUUUCAAUAUUAGCCUUCUAAAAAGGGUAAAUCGAAAAGUCGAAACUUUUCAGGAGUAUAUAAGCAAUUGCACUUUUUUUUUAAUAGCUCUUCUCAAAUUCUAUAUAACUUUAUCAUAUGCUUUACGUUUUCUAGAUUUAGUUUGAACAAAAUUCUAAAACUUCAACCACUUCACAAUGAAAGCUCCCUUCUUAUUCUUUUUCUUUGUAAGGAAAUUACAUAUUUAUUCAUGCAAGCUUUGAACAAUAAGAUGUCGUUUUACAAUAUUUGGUUAUUAUAAAUAUUUUCCUGAGUUGCUAAUAUAUAUAUAUAUAUAUAUAUAUCUCUUUUUUGAUGAUAUAUCUUUAAUUUUCUUAUUCUCAAAUAUUUACCACUCAUUCCCUCAAUAAUGAGGAGCAAAUUGGAUUUUGGUAAGAUUGUGAGAGGGCGGUAAUGUUAGCGAGACAUCAUGGUGGCCCGUCGGUACUGACAGUAGUGGAGUUUAAGUGGUACUUGGGGUAUGCUUGUUUCGCCGAAAGUGAACCAGAAUACAAUUGUUCUCAAUCAUAAAUAUCCACUUUCGUUGUUUAGUUUACCGUAAGUUAAAUUCAUCUGUAACUUUUUUAGAAAAAAAAACAUCGUAAUUGAUUUGUCUCUGAGUAGUGUGGAAGUCAAUUAAGAAAGAGAAAAAAAAUAAAAAAAUAAAAAAUUAACUGUUGUAAUUUUUUUCAUCUUUUAAUAUGUUAGUAUGAAGUACAUUCAAAAAAAUAAUUACUGUAAUUUUUAUCAUCUUUUUAUAUGUCAGUAUUAAAAUUCUCAGCAAAAUAAAUAGAAAGGAAUAGGCUCUUGAGAGUGGGCUCUCUUGCAUCCUAUCAAACAAAUAACAGUCAAUUUUUUGAUAUUUUUUAUUUAAAAUUUAAUUCAACUAAAAAUUAUUUUUAAGCCGAAAAUCACUUACAGGCAAUAAAAAGAUCCUUAAUAGUAGCGGUUAGAAAACAGUGGGGAAAUGACAGAUUAAGAUUUGUAUAUAGUUCAUUUCUUUUUUCUUUUUUUUUUUUUUUUUUGAGAGAUAGGUAGCACGCUACCUGUUUCGUUUAUUUUAUUUAAAAAUAAACUUAGCUGGAAAUGUGAAUCAACUAGGAUUCAAACUUGGGUCUCGGGUACCAACCACCAAGCCCUUGCCACUUGCUCUAGGGACGGUCGGUAGUUCAUUUCUAUCUGUAAGUUCAUUUAUGAAAAACUAGUUGAGUGUAAAUGAAAAACUAGUUGAGUGUACAUGUACGUAAUAAUUAUUUUAAUUUAUUUAUAAUCUAUAUAAAUUUGUACAUCGUAUUUAUUAAAAACAAAUUUACAAUAAAAAUUAUAUUUUAUAAAUUUAUAUGUUAUAUUUUAUUAGAAAACAUUUGAAACAUCCUAUAUUAUUGUUUUUACAUACAUUGAAUAUUUUUAUAUAUUUUUUAAUUUUUGAUUAAUCUUAAAUUUAAGUAUAUGUUUUAAACUAAAAACAUCUAAAUUUAAAUUACUUUGUACUUUAGAAUUUAAAAUUUAAUUUUGAUCCACUAUAAUUAAUUUUUUAAUUAUUAACUCCAAUGGAUAUAAAAAAUUAAAUUAAAUUUAUGAUAUAAACUUAAUUUUUAAUUUUAAUUUAAGUAGAUAGAUAUGAAUACUAUUUUUUAACAGAUUAAUCAUAACCUUCGUUUUUAUUUGAGAUAUUUCUUUUGAUUCCGUCUGUCAUUUCUAUACGCUUUUAUAUAUAGUAUUGUUGGAGCCGAAAUUUCCCGACUCUUGACCCGGUCAAAGAUCCUCCUCGGGAAGCGCGUCGGGAUGCGAGACGGCUGCGAACAGUGACCCUCGAAGUUUGCACACUUCGACAAAUCAAGCGAUUCGGCUGAUGAGGGAUCAGAUCAACCGGGUUCGAAAACCUCUAUAGUAUAAUCAGUUCGGCUGGGAUGAGCCGAAUCCUCGAAACAGGCCAGAAAGUGGGCAGAGAGAAGAGCCAGCCAAGACAACUCGAGAUCUGGUCGGCCUGAAGAGCCGAAAAUGAAAUACACAAUGACUGGUCGGCUGAAAGAGCCGAAUGCCUUUAUAUAAUAAUAAAAAGAGUGUGCCCGAAGGGCAUAUAGACUCAGAAAUAUAGUUUACAAUAGAGUGAUGCCCGUGGGGCAGACAGACUCUGCAAAUGUAGUCUACAACGGAGUGAUGCCUGUGGGGCAGACAGACUCCAGGGUUCUACUUAGUGAACUACUCCAGGAAAGCAGUAAAUGCGGAAAAGAAAAAGAUUACAUUUAGACUAUUCCUAGAAAAGCGAUAAAAUGCAGAGAAAAUAAGGGUGGUCUUUUGUGCGCAGGGGCAAAGACCUCUAUUGCAGUCUUUAAAGUUACUAUUUAUAGCCCACAUUAUUAGUUGGUUGAAAGAAGUUGGGGGGAGUGGUUGUAACCAUGAUCGUGGAAGUUAUACUAACUCCUCAUGGAAGUUACGCUAACUCCUCCUGAAAGUUACGCUCAAUCUUCAACCGUUCCCGCCUUUUUGUCCUUCAGGCGCCUUAUUGCCGACUCCUGGUGUACCACAUGUCCUUAUUGGCUCAUACGUGGGUUAGGUCGGCUCAAUUUUGGUAUAAACAAGUAUAGAUAAACAAAACGAAUCAUAAAUUAUCCUUCUCUUUUGUUUUGUUUUUUAAUUAUUGCAAAAGCUCAACAUCCUACUUGGUAGAGGGGCUAGAAGAAGGGAAGAGUUGUAAUGGUCAAUUUCUAAAAUGAGGACUAGGUCUAAGCAAUAUUUAGUUAGUAUAUUUUAUAUAAUUCUCGUAACUAUAAAUAAAUAAUUGGCAUAAAUUUUAAAGUAAAAGUGCCGCUAACUAACUCAAAUCAAACAAAAUAAAAUUUUGAAUAGAAAAAUUAAAAUUUUGAAAGCUUGGAUAACUAAAUCAAAAUGAUACAUAGUUUUGAUCAAUAUUUGUACAUUUUUAAUUACAAAUCAAAUAGAUAUCCAAAGAUGAACUUUAAUGUAAAGCAAUAAAUAAGAAGUUUGGGACUAAUAGUGUAAUUUUUUUUUAUCUCUUCUAUUUAAUUGUUUAUUAAUUAGUGAGAAAUGAGCAUGUCAGGUGAAUUGCACUACUAGCUCCUGAACUUAACUUUGAGUUUCGCUUUGGUCCUUAAAUUUUUAUUUCAAUAAUCAAAACUCUGAACUUUCACUACAAUAGUUAUUAAACUCGAAAUAGUUAUUAAACUUUUAAUUAUAUUUUAUUUUAGUAAUUACCUUAGGGUUAAAGGUAUUGUUUGUACCAAGUUUAUCCAUGUAUUCGAACAUUAUAAAUGUAUAAUUGAACGAUUCAAUUUUUACAUAAAAUAUAAUGCUAUAACUAAAUGGGUGAUAGCACUAAAAUAUAAGUUUUUAAAAAUCAAUAAAUCUACGGUGUAUAAAUGUACAUAUGCACCAGGUGUAGGGAAAAAAAGGAAAUAAAAUAAAACUACAACUCUAUCGGUCCAAUUCAUCACUAAUACGGAAAUUUUUAAAAAAUUGAGAAUCAAAGUGACAGUUGUUGAAAGUGGAGUGACUAUAAAUGCAAUUUUAUCCCAAAAAAGACGCUUAAUUAUUAGAAGAAAAUAAAUUUCAUACAGAACGCUACAAAUAUAAUGAAUUACAAAUAUAUUCUUACAAAGUUUAAGUUAUAUAUGUUAUUCUUACAAAAUUUUUAAUAUUUUUAAGUAUAUUUCUUUGUUUUGUUACUGUAACACUGUUAAAGCACUGUUUAUUUAUAAGUGAAAUGAUAAUUUUGUCAUUACAAAUAAAUCUUUUAAAAAAUUUCAACAGUGUAAAAUGGUCAAUUCACCUUAUUAACUAAUUAGAGUUAAGUAUUUUACUGAUAAUUAACUAAUAUUUGAAAAUAUUAGAAUUUUUGAAAGAAUAAUAUAUGGAAGUUGAGUUAAAUAGAUAUAUGUAUUUGUAAUUUACUAUUUUGUGAGGACCUAUAUGCAAGUAAUCCAAAACGGACAGAGAAAACGAAACAAAAAAGUUCCCUCGUCACUCCGUACACUCCGUACAGUACGGACGAGACCAAGGCUCGUAGGCCCCACAUAGCACGAAGGGAUAUAACGAAAUAAAAUAAAUUAGAAAAAUAGGUUGAAAAUAUACGGACCGUCCGAUCAAAUACCGGUUCUCAAUCACCGGCCGUGCGAUCACAUGCUAUUAUUUUAAUCGUCCCCCACGAACCUCGGCCCUCCCAUUCGCGCCCCACCUCAAAAAUCCCCCAUGCCCAGCGCGCAACGGCCAACCGCGCCCGGUGGGCCCCACCACUCCGAACCCGCACGUGGGCCCCACCCCGGCUCCGCGGGCCCGAUUGCCGCCACGUGUCGGGACGGGCUCCGAAACCCCGUCUCCGCCGCUCGAUUCGUCCGAAUGAGCCCAUCCCCACAUUAUUUGUCCCGCCCCAACCCCUUCGCUGUCAUCUUCUUCGUCUCUCUUCGCGUUCUCAACUCCCACCACCCCCGCUCUGAGUUCGCCCCACCGCGCUCGAAGGUUCGCAGCAAACCCUAGCUCCCGAUCCCAUCUCCUCUACAUUUCGAUCGAUCGAUCGAUCGAUUUCGAUCUAAUCGAUCUCUUUUUUUCUUUUUCUUUUUUUUUUUCUUUCUUUCGAAUGGUACGUAUAUAGGCGAGUGGAGCACUCGGUAGCGGGGUUAAUUUUUCCGAAAGAAUCGAUUCAAAUCGCGCGUUCUUGAACCCUAGGGUUUCUGAUCGAGAGGAUACGUACCUGUUUCGGUUGAUCUAUGAGGCAGUAGAGAGGGAGCGGCGGGGAGAGAUCGUCGUCGUCGUUGCUGCUGCGGGGCCGAGGAGGAGGAGGAGAGGUGACAAUGGCGGCGGGAGCGGAGGCGCCGGCGCCGGCGCCGGCGUCGGAAGCGGGGCAGAGCUCCGCCGCUGCCGCGGCGGCGGCGGGGAUGUCGGGGCCGCAGGGGCUGACGCGGCGGCCGUCGCGGAGCGCGGCGAUGGCGACGUUCUCCAUGGAGGUGUUCGACAACGAGGUCGUGCCCUCCUCGCUCAGCAGCAUCGCCCCCAUCCUCCGCGUCGCCGCCGAGAUCGAGCCCGAGCGCCCCCGCGUCGCCUACCUCUGUACACACCCCCUUUCCCCCUCUCUCUCUCUCUCUCUCUCUCUCUCUCUCUCUCAAAAACUUGGUGGGGAUGGUCCAAAAGUGAGAUCACGCGAAGAACACGAAUCUCAAUGUCGUAUGAACUGUAAAUUGAACGGUCUCACAAUGGAAACCAUUCCUACCGAUUUUUUCCCCUGAGCUCAUUUUGAUCCCUCUUUCCAUGUUAGAAACCCUAAGAACGAGAUCGAUCGAUCGACGACGGUGUCUUCGAUCUCAAUUUCAUUUUUUAAUAAAUACUGCAAAAACAAAAAAAAGGGGAUGCAUGCAUGAUAUAUCUUAGUCGAUUUUUUUCCUUUUAAUUUUUUUUGUGCAUACUUAAAUAGGUCGAUUCUACGCUUUCGAGAAGGCGCAUCGCCUCGAUCCGAGCUCAAGCGGACGUGGAGUUCGCCAGUUUAAGACCGCUCUCCUACAGCGCCUCGAGCGAGUGAGAUUUUAUUUUCUUCUUCUUUUUUUUUUUUUUUGAAAUCCACUUUUUAAUGCAUAUAUAUUUUUAUAUAUAUACACUACCUAUGAAACAUCGUUACUACGUCGUUCUCUGAGUUUGCGGCGCAUGAUUUUGGCGUUACUCGAACAAGAUGAUAAGAAACUGGAAAGAAAAUGAUUAUUUUAGGACGAAGUAAUAAUAAUAAUAAUAAUAAUAAUAUUUAAUAUUAACAUAUAACGGCUUCUUUAUUCCCGACAGCUGGGGCCGGGGUACGGGGUCAACGCAGGUUGUUUGCGUGGGUUUUGGGUAUUUUCGUCUUUUUGAUAGGAGGUAUAUAUUGGUAAAAUUGGGGUGACUUUAUCAAUCGCCCUAUUCUUUCCCGCUCUCGCCCGACACACCAAAAAAAAAAAAAAAAAAAAAAAAAAACAAAAUGUUGUUUUGCCUUUUGGCUCCAGAUCGGGAGCCUCAAUCGUGUCUAGCAACCAGUUUAAUCCGGUAAUGAAAGGUUAGUUUGUGUUUGAAUCCCGCUCUAUUGACGGUGAAUACUUUGUUAGGUUUUUGUUUUUUAGGGCUACGAAUAGUGGAAGCGAUUGUUUGGCCUGAAGAAUCCCUGCAAAUCAAAUCUACUCCAAACAUUAACCCCAUAAUAACACAAUUUAGAUAGGAUUAAGCUUCUACUCUGACAAUAAAAUUUUAGGGGAAAACAACCCAUUCAAGAUUGGACUGGGAAUGAAAUCGCCGCGAUUCCAUCAAUGUUUUGAUUCCUGGAAGGGAACUUAGCUAAAAUCUCACUCAGAAAGAUGGACUAUAUUUUUCUUCCAGAGUAAUUUGGUGAAAAAACUUUUUUUUUUUGUUUUUUGUUUUUUGGUAUAAUUCUGUAGGGAUAAAUCUUUCCAGAUGCCAAAAAAAGCCUACUUUUUCUCACCAGUGGAAUGUGUUUUGAGCAUACUUGAAUCAUAUUACAUUACAGGAUAAUACGCCGAGCCUUGCGAAGAGGGUAAAGAAGAGUGAUGCGCGGGAAAUUGAGAGCUUUUAUCAGCAGUACUAUGAGCACUAUGUUCGUGCUCUCGAUAAAGGCCAACAAGCUGAUAGGCAAGCAUCUGAUUUGCUUGGUUUCAUCUUUCUUUUAAUGUUUAUUGCGGCCUACCUUGGAUGUGGAAACUGAUUAGUAUCUUGUCAUUGGCAGAGCCCAGCUUGGGAAAGCCUACCAGACUGCUGGAGUUCUUUUUGAAGUGCUAUGCGCAGUUAAUAAGACCGAGAAAGUUGAAGAGGUCGCUCCGGAGGUUGGUGCUGCUGCCAAUUUUAAAUCCCAAUGAUUGCCAUGGGCCAGAUCUUGUCAUUUUGUGUCUUUCUUUUUUGUUCAUUUAACCAUGUUUCUUAUUCUUGAAGUAAUUUCGGUUAUUUGCCACUGUUAUUGAGUUGUUCGUCUUCAUCUCUCGUGUUUGUUCUUGCACAGAUUAUUGCUGCUGCCAGAGAUGUGCAAGAAAAGAAGGAAAUUUAUGUUCCUUACAACAUUCUUCCUCUUGAUGCUGCCGGUGCUUCACAGUCCAUCAUGCAACUUGAGGAGGUAUGACUUGUCACAGUUUUCUAGUCUCCACUAUUCUUAAGAAGAUAGUUUCCUAAUUAUCUGACAAUCCUUGUGACAGGUGAAAGCAGCAGUUGCUGCCCUGAGGAACACGCGAGGUUUGAACUGGCCAUCUUCCUUUGAGCAGCAAAGGCAAAAGACAGGAGACCUGGAUCUGCUUGAUUGGUUGAGGGCGAUGUUUGGGUUUCAGGUCUCGUAGCUCUAGAUAGAAGAUGACUUAUUGGUGCUAUUGCUUUCAUGAGGUCUCUAGCUUCUCUUUAUGUCUAACUAAAUUUAUUUUGUUUCCAGAGGGACAGUGUCAGGAAUCAAAGGGAGCAUUUGAUCCUACUGUUAUCUAAUGUUCAUAUAAGACUAACACCGAAGCCCGAACCUCUUAAUAAGGCAUGUGAAACUUUUCCUCCCUCUGAGUUGCAGUGCGUGUUUGUUAACCACUCUGCUUCCAUUGACUGCUAGUAAGGAUGUACCAUUGUCACAGCAGCUGCAUGUAUAUCAUUUUCACCUACCAAAAUCUUCUGCAUGUUUGUUGAUCUAACAAACUGCAACUAAAGCAAGUGAAAAUACUUGGUUAAUCGAUGCAUAAACAUUUAAUUGAGAAAGUGUUUAUGGACCAUGUAACAGCUUACCUUGGUCAGGUUUCGACUGAGCCUAAGAUAGCUAUUUCUUCUGUCAGAAUAUUCCUGACUAUUAUUUGACUGCAUGAUAUCUGACAUCAAGUGAACCAAUUCGGAGCCUUGUUUCGGCCUUGCGUUUUGUCUUUGGUUUAGAUCAAUCAAAUGUAUUUUACUCUAAGAACAAGUUAUUUCUUGUUUAACCACUCUCUCUUCCAGCGAUUGCAAACAGCAGUUUAAAAUAUGUCGUAUCUAGUUGUCGUUUUACACUUGUAUACUGGAAGGUCGACAAUCAGUCUCAAAAUUGUGUAAAUAAAGCGCUAAUACAUUCUAUUCUGUAUUUACAAUAAUCAUGCUAUAUCUUAGUUGAUUUGCUAACCAGUUCCUUUGAAACAGCUGGAUGAGCGAGCUGUUGAUGCUGUGAUGAAUAAGCUUUUCAAGAAUUACAAAACAUGGUGUAAAUUCUUAGGGCGCAAACACAGUUUAAGGUAUGAUGCUUAUCCCUCUUGAUUAUCGGUUACUUUUUUUAGCACUUUUUUUUAUUAUUGUGUGUAAUGCUGGUAAGUUUUACGAGUUCAGACUCCCUCAAGGUGCACAACCACAAGAAGUCCAGCAGAGAAAGAUUCUCUAUAUGGGUCUCUUUCUUCUUGUUUGGGGUGAAGCAGCCAACGUUCGGUUUAUGCCUGAAUGCCUGUGCUACAUCUUUCAUAAUGUAACAUACCUUUCCAAAUGCAUUUAUUCUUUUUCCCCCCCUUUCCUUAAUGCCUUAUAAUUCCUGCAACUACACGUCUAUAUUUUCGUUAAGCAAAUUCUAAAUGAGUUCAGAUGGCAUAUGAGCUACAUGGUCUGCUUGCUGGCAAUGUAAGCGUUGUGACCGGAGAAAACAUUAGACCUUCAUAUGGGGGAGAUGACGAGGCUUUCUUGAAGAAAGUGAUUACUCCAAUUUAUCGUGUUAUAGAGAGGGUAUGCUUCUUAACAUCAAAAAUACAACAUUUCACUUUAUCUUCACUUUACGGAACAACAAAUAAUGGUGUUGAUCUGCCAGGAAGCAAGCAAAAGCAAAAAUGGAAAAGCUCCACAUUCAGCAUGGUGUAAUUAUGAUGAUCUAAAUGAGUACUUCUGGUACUUCAAAGAGUCCUGAAUACUUGCUAAAUUAGUUCUUUGGUUUCAUUCAAAUGUGCUAAUAUUCAAUGUAACUAUGUGACACUCAGGACAUCUGAUUGUUUCUCUUUGGGAUGGCCUAUGCGUGAUGAUGGUGAUUUUUUUAAAUCAGUACACGAUUCAAGGUCAAUAUCGCUGGUAUGUUAUAAGCUUCCACUGGUCAAUGCAUUGAAAAUUCCCAAAAGAAUGUCGUGCUAAGAUGCUCUAUUUGCAGGCUGGACGCUCAUCUCAAAGAACUAGUAAAAGCACCGGGAAGUCAAAUUUUGUUGAGACCAGAACAUUUUGGCACAUUUUCCGAAGCUUUGACCGUAUGUGGACCUUUUAUAUAUUGGCACUGCAGGUACUCUGAUGACACGUCAGGUGGAAUGUCUUUACUUUGAUUUUCUCUCAUAUGUAUACUGAUUUUCCAAUUUUACAGGCAAUGGUGGUCGUUGCUUGGAGUGGCUAUCCACUAGAGGAAAUCUUUCAAAAAGAUAUCUGGUAUUCUGUGUCUAGCAUUUUCAUUACAGCAGCAUUUCUUCGGUUCCUCCAAAGUACGAGCUUUUCCAAACAUAUAACAAUAUUUUUCUUUUUUUCUGGAUUCUUGAUGAAACAAGUAGUUUUACAUAUGAUAAACUUGUUGUAUGCUAUGAAGGCCUAGUUCUAUAUUAAAUGUCUCCUUACUGGUAUCCAAGCACCUUAUAUUGACUUGUUAUAAUAUAGGACAUAAAGGUGUAGUCUUGGAAUGCAUUACCCAAAAGCAUGCAAUUUUAUCUUUAAGUAGGUCCUGAUCUUCAAGGUAGUUUAGACCUUACUUCUUCCUAUAUUGUAAAAUGGUGGUGGGAGCCAUCACCAGAGAAGAUCUUGCUGGAUGCUUCUCCUAUGGCGGUUUCCACCACUAUUUUUAAGGAUAGGAAGAGGUAAAAUCUAAAGUUCUUUCAAAAUUUUUGUGUCCUUCAAACUUAUCAAGGGUGGAUGCUUUUGAGGGAUGCAUUCCCAAACUAGGCCUUAGUACGUUGGGGAUCCUAGGUUCUUCUGAUGAUUAUUGUGAUGCUCCCUAUAAUGUUUAGGGUUUAGGGUUUUGAGGUUCUUCUGAUGAUUGUGAAUGCUUUUAAGGGAUGCAUUCCCAAACUAGUCCUAAGUAGGUUGCUGAUCCUAGGUUCUUCUGAUGAUUGUGAUGCUUCUUAUGACGUUAACUUAAAUUGUUGUACCAUUCUAUUGUUGACAGGCAUUCUGGACCUUGUUCUGAACUUCCCUGGCUAUCAUAGAUGGAAAUUCACUAAUGUUCUGCGAAAUAUACUCAAGACACUAGUUAGUGCUGCCUGGGCUGCUAUCCUUCCUCUUUGUUACCUUAAUACUGCAGAAAAAGUAAAUUUACCAGUGAAAGAUCUGGCGAAAUGGCUUGGUCAAGUGAAAGGAGUGCCGCCUUUAUAUAUCAUGGCUGUAGCAGUGUACUUGCUCCCAAAUUUGCUAGCAGGAAUACUAUUUAUUUUUCCAAUGCUUCGGAGAUGGAUCGAAAACUCUGAUUGGCACAUCAUUAGAUUCCUCCUAUGGUGGUCUCAGGUACAAAAUGCAUAUUUUUGUUCAAAAAGAAUACAGAAUGCAUAUAGAUCCCUCUUGUUCUUUUGUCCUCUCUGCUCUUAUAUUUCUCUUAUUUAUGACUAACCGGAUUCUUCUGUAGCUUGAUCUGUAUAUCAAGUGUGGCUACUUUGUGUUUCAGAAACAUUAUAGUUGCUGCCGCGCUGGGCAUUUAUAAUUUCCAUAUCCUUUUUUUGAAAGCUAAUGUUCAUUUCCAUUUUCAUGCUAUCAUGUUAAUGGAACUAAAAUUCACCAGUAGAUCAAUCUAUUCAGCAAGUAGGAAUAGUUUAGUGCACAUAUAUCAAAAAGGAGGCAAAGUAGAAGAGACGCUUAAUUGCCUAGAAUCGUCAUGUGGAACAGUUUCUUUUUUUGUUUUGUUUUUUUUACUCUUUUAGGUAAUUUAUAUGUAUGAAUGAGAAGCUGGUCCCUUGGAUAGCUAGAACUGGUUAUCAUGUUAAUGGCUGCCUUGGAUGCUUUCCCACUAGUGUAUCACAUUCUGUUUUGUGGAUAAUUCAUGGAAAUCUGAUUUAAUUUCCUCUCUGAUGAUCCAACCCAUUAGCUAAUUACAUGAUCAUGCUAUAGCUGUCUUCCUUUUCCAUUAUUCUUGCAUAUUCUUUUAUUAUUCACUAACUGCAUCAUAUCAACACCUGUAGCCACGAAUUUAUGUUGGACGGGGUAUGCAUGAAAGUCAGUUUGCCCUUUUCAAGUAAGUUUAUGUGACCGCCAUCCUAUCUAGUUCCGGUCCACUCUCUGAGAUAGAAUUGCCACCUACAUCUCCUCUUCUUUUGCAGGUAUACAUUGUUUUGGGUAUUGCUUUUGUGCUCCAAAUUCGCAUUCAGUUAUUUUGUCCAGGUAAUCUUUGUCUUUUCAGGGUAAACUUUUAUAGAACAUAGAGUUUAAGGAAAUCUAGUAGUCAAUAUCAUCAGUUUGCUUAUUCAUGUUACUAUUAUACAGAUUAAACCUCUGAUUAAGCCAACAAAGGAUAUAAUGGAUGUUCACAAUAUUCAAUAUGCCUGGCACGAGUUUUUCCCGAAUGGUAACAAUGGUUUUUCAUUAUUUCUAUCGAUUGGUGCUCAUGUUUUUUCAAUUCACGAAUGUUAUGAUCUGUGCAGCCCAACACAAUAUUGGUGCUAUUGUCUCCCUCUGGGCGCCUGUGAUUUUGGUAGGUGUUGCCACUAAUUUUCACCCAUCUGUCUUUUGGAAAAAAAAAAAAAGAAAAAAAGUAAAUGGUGAAUUGUUCUUUUCUUUAUCCUUUUCCCUCGUCAAAAGUUGACAUGUUUGGCAACAACAGUUUACGAGAGCACAACUUUCCUUUCCUCUUCAGGUCUAUUUUAUGGAUACACAGAUUUGGUAUUCAAUUUUCUCUACCCUGUAUGGUGGUGUUUAUGGAGCAUUUGGCCGACUUGGAGAGGUAAACUAGGGAAAAAAAACACCCAAGGGUGAUGUUCCAUCUUCUAGGACUAAAUUACGAGAUUGAAACUUCAGGGAUCUCCUUGCAAUUUCAAACGCAUUUAGGGAGUAACUAUAGACUUUCUCCUUUUGUUUAUCCCACUGGAUUAGUUAUCAUUCUAUCAUGCCUAGCUUGUUACAGUAUAAGCAUAGAAUUUACUCUGCUCUAACUUUAAAUUCAUAGUAAAAUAUUUUUCAUGUGGUCAGAAUACAGUCAAAAAAAAAAUCAUUUGGUUAGAAACUCAAACUUCCGCUUAUUAUAUCUUUCUUUUACUUUUAAUAGAUACGGACGCUAGGCAUGCUGAGAUCACGAUUUCAUUCUUUACUCGGAGCCUUCAAUACAUAUCUGGUGCCAUCCGAAAAGACCCGCAACAGGGGCUUUUCACUCUCAAAACGUUUUGCUGAGGUUAGCAAAAACUAUUAAUUUAGUCUAGACAAUUUUGAAUGGUUAUUUGACCUGAAUGUUUAACACUAAUAUGAAAAAACCAUGAAGGUUUCUCCAAACAAGAGAACUGAAGCUGCAAAGUUUGCUCAGUUGUGGAAUGAAGUGAUUUGCAGCUUCCGAGAGGAAGACCUGAUAAGCGACAGGAAAGCCCUUCAACUCAUUUAUAAGAUAACCUAUUUUCUAUUCAUACUAUGAAAUUGGUGUCCUGCAAUGCUGAUAAACAGUUUGUAAAUUCAGGGAGAUGGAUCUUUUGUUAGUUCCUUACUCUUCAGAUCCUAGCCUGAAGUUAAUACAAUGGCCGCCCUUCUUGCUAGCCAGCAAGGUUUUUUACCAACACUCUUAUUCUUGGCUGUAUAGUUACCUAUGUGCCCAACUGCUGAUGUUUCACUACAUGGGUGCUCUUGCAGAUUCCCAUAGCUCUGGACAUGGCAGCUCAAUUUCGAACAAGGGACUAUGAUCUUUGGAAACGAAUAUGUGCUGAUGAGUAUAUGAAAUGUGCUGUACUAGAAUGUUACGAGUCUUUUAAACUUGUUCUUAAUGUACUGGUGGUUGGAGAAAAUGAGAAAAGGUCUGUUAGAAACCAUCUAUAUUCAUUUUGGUUGCUUUCAUGUGAUCUUUUGAGAAUUAGUGACUUGACAAUGUGCUUAAAUAUAUUAAUUUCAUCAUCUUCUUAACAUACUGGUGCAUCCACUGGGACAGGAUUAUUGGUAUUAUUAUCAAAGAAAUUGAAGCCAACAUUGCAAAGAGCACGUUUCUUGCCAAUUUUAGAAUGAGCGCCUUACAAGUCCUGUGCAAGAAAUUUGUGGAGCUUGUGUCCAUCUUGGUAAGUCAAAUACAAAAAAUUAUCAUUUAUUUUCUGUGAACAUUUCAUCAUGUUGAACAAUUUUUUUAACUCAAUUAACAUUGUAUCUUUGGAUAAGUAAAACAUUUCUAUCAAGGUAUGACAAGAACCCCUAAAAUGAUUUUUUUGCUUUCACUUCCAGAAAGAAGGAGAUGCUUCUAUGCGUGACACUGUGGUCCUAUUGCUGCAAGACAUGCUAGAGGUGGUUACUAGAGAUAUGAUGGUUAAUGAGAUUCGGUAGGGAAUUGUAUAAUUUGAAUCACUGAAAAUGUCAAUUUUUCUGAGUAAUUUUUCGUCGUCUUUUGAUAUCUGGAUUUGUUCUUGUAGGGAGUUGGUUGAGCUUGGCCAUGGUAGCAAGGAUUCAGUCCCCCGAAGACAACUUUUUGCUGGUACUGGUUCAAAGGCUGCUAUAGUGUUUCCCCCUGUAGUUACAGCUCAAUGGGAAGAACAGGUGCAUAGCCAUACAUCCUCUCAUGUUGUUGAUAGCUAGGACGGCAUAGUUAUAUUUGUAAUUUACAGAUCAAACGCCUGUACCUGCUGUUGACUGUAAAAGAAUCAGCAAUAGAUGUGCCUACGAAUCUUGAAGCUCGGCGGAGGAUAGCGUUUUUCACGAAUUCAUUAUUCAUGGACAUGCCACGUGCACCUCGAGUUCGCAAAAUGCUAUCAUUCAGGUUACUGUCUUGUUUCUAAUAGUAUCACUGGAUGGACAUGCAAUAUUUCAAGAUCGUUUAACUAGUUAUGAAAGAGAUUUCGUCAUUAACCAGCAUUGAACCAGUUCAAUGCCCACAUGGAAACAGCAAAGUUAGUUGACUAAAGAGAUAUGGACCGGGACCAUGCAUCACAAUACUGCCACCCCCAGUUUUGGUUCUAGAAUAGGUUGAACCUUUUCUGCCUAGAAGUGAGGUGAAACUCCUAAGUGUAAGAAACAGUAUUUUAUUAGAGUUGGAUGCUAAAAGAGAAUUAGAGAACUUCGAACCAAAUGCCACAUGAUAAGUGACAAGACAUAUCAUGAACUAAAUUUAUUACAACUUACUGUGAGAAUUCAUGACUCAUCCAUGCUAGCUGUUUCUGUGGUGUGUUUUAAGUUCACCUUGUUAAGAAGUUCAUUUAAAACUUGCAUUAUACUGUAGCUGCAAGCUUAUGUCACAGGGAGACCUGUUAGAUCAAUGAGUUCCUCAGUUCAAAUCCAUGACCCUCAUUCUAUCAAUUUUGCAAGGCAUUUCAGUAGCUACAUUUAACACUACAUAUGUGUAAGUUUUGGUACAACAUGACUACAGAGAGGUUUACAUCAUUAUAUGUCACGGUGCAACAAGUGAUUCGUAGAACAAAUAUCUUUUGUCUCAGUAAUACUAUGAUCAGCAGAACAUAUAAAUUAUUUCAGAUAUGAAUAUUUAUAGCCAAGUAUCAUGAACUGUAUAAAUGAAUGUCUAUGGCAUUACCAAGUAUCAAGAUAUAAUUCACUUCGGAGAUGAAUAUUCAUGAUUGCCAAGUAUCAUGAACUGUAUAGAUCUCUCGUUUUCAGUAUUAUGUUUAGCUAAAAUUUUACAUAAGUUUAGUCAACAUUCUGAAACAGUCAUUUUUAUUCUAUAUGACUUUGCAGUGUCAUGACCCCUUACUAUAGUGAGGAGACUGUCUAUUCCAGAAAUGAUCUUGAUUUGGAGAAUGAAGAUGGUGUAUCAAUCAUCUUUUACCUUCAAAAGAUCUUUCCAGGUUCAAAUACUUCAGUACCUGCAGCCCUGCCUCUCUUCUUCUCUCUUUUCUUUUCUCUUUUGGGAUUGCUUGUUUGUCAUUGUUCAUGGAAUUUUACUUGUGUACAUGCGCUUAACCUUGUCAAUUGGUUUAAAUAGAUGAAUGGAACAACUUCAUGGAGAGAAUUAACUGCAAGAGAGAGAGUGAAGUUUGGGCUAAUGAGGAGAAUGUCUUACAACUUCGCCAUUGGGCCUCCCUUAGGGGACAGACACUCUGUAGAACAGGUAAUUGCUAUACUCACAUUUCUAUUUCUUGCCAUCUAUUAGACAACAAUAACAUUAGCUUGGUUUCAUUUUCUUUCCUGAGGACAGUUAGGGGCAUGAUGUACUACCGAAGAGCUUUAAAACUUCAGGCUUUUCUUGACAUGGCUUCUGAAAGUGGUAUGUUGCUUUGGUCACCGAAAUGAAGUAUUUCAAUCUCAUCAUUUACCUCAAUAGUACUAUUGGUGAUUAUCUACUUUUAUGUACAGAAAUAUUAGAAGGAUAUAAAGCAGUUGCUGAUCCAGAAGAGGAAGAGAAGAAGAGCCAAAGAUCACUAUCUGCUCAACUUGAGGCCAUAGCUGACAUGAAAUUUACAUAUGUUGCCACAUGCCAAAUUUAUGGCAAUCAAAAACAGUCUGGAGAUCGUCGUGCAACAGACAUUUUGAACUUGAUGGUCAAGUGAGUUUUCCGUUCGUUUUUCUACAAUAUUUCACUUGGUCAUUCUUCCUGAUGAUUAAUAUCACCAUUCCAUCAUAUGAUACUUACAUGUGAUCUUGAAGGUACGUGAAAUAAUCAUGCUGUACCUAAUAAUACCUUAUAGAGUGACAUAAAAAUGUUUCUAUUCUUUAUCUUUUUAGCUAAUGGAUUUAAUACUGAAAGCUAAUCUCUAAUUUGUAAAUACAGCUAUCCUUCUCUUCGGGUAGCCUAUAUUGAUGAAGUUGAAGAAAGAGAUGGUGACAAGGUACAGAAGGUCUACUAUUCUGUGUUGGUGAAAGCUGUUGACAAUCGUGAUCAGGUAAUCAUUGCUCACAAUACAUCCCGUCUGCCUGAACUUAAGAUGAUACUGAUGUUUUAUUUUCUUCUGUGAAAGGAAAUAUACCGGAUAAAAUUACCAGGAUCAGCAAAAGUAGGUGAAGGGAAGCCCGAAAACCAAAACCAUGCAAUAAUCUUUACUCGUGGUGAGGCACUUCAGACAAUUGAUAUGAAUCAGGUAAAGAAAGUUCUAAGAUUACUGAAUUGAUGUCUUAAGCUUUGUUCUUAUAUAACAAUUGAGGAAUUUUUCAGGACAAUUAUCUGGAAGAGGCUCUAAAAAUGCGGAAUCUCCUGGAAGAAUUUAAUGAAGACCAUGGAGUGCGUCAGCCUACCAUUCUUGGUGUUCGUGAACAUAUAUUCACAGGAGGGUAAAUAACAAUUCAUUAGCAUUAACAUGCCUUACUUCUACUCACUAAUAACAUUAGACCAUUGUCCAAUUGACAAUUUUUCUUUGUAGUGUAUCAUCUCUGGCAUGGUUCAUGUCAAACCAGGAAACCAGCUUUGUGACUAUUGGACAGAGAGUCCUCGCUAGCCCAUUGAAGUAAGUUCCACUUCUUGGUCGUGUAAUAAUUUCAGUUCAUCUAGCUGGUAUAGUAUGGUAGCUCCAAUAUUUUAUUGUUAAUGUAUAUAGUUAUUACUGGAGUAGUCACCCAGAGGCUAUAUUUUAAUAUUAUGUCUUACUUGGAACUAGUAUGAAAAUCUGAACUCAAGAACCUUUCAGUGCCUUUAUGCCUGAAAAGAAAAGUAAUUCGUAUUUUGGUAGUAGAAUCUAGAAUAUGUUUGAUCUUUGUAAUAUAUAAACCUUCUAUUAGAACAAUGGAAAGAGAAAGGAAUAUUGAGAAAGUAAAACAAUCAAAACCAAAGAAUAGAAUGAGAUAUUAUAGGUUAGUUGUUUUGCAUAGUAUCAGAGUAAAAGGUAAUGAGUUUAAAUCUCACUGUGCAUCCAGUAUUGUUUAAUUUCCUCCCAUUUAAGGGGCAUUCAUGUUUUAAGCCUAUCAUAAAGCCCUGUACAUGAGAGGGAGUACUAAAUAUAACAUACUUAAACACUGUUCUCUAACAACUUAAGCUUUUAGAGAGUAAUCAGUUGUUUCACACAUUUCUUUUUUCGUUCUGCUGCUGAAACACUAAGGGUGUGUUUGGUUCCACGUAAAACUGGAAAAAAAAUUUCGGUGGAAAAAAAAGUUUUACGUCGUUUAGUGUUUGGUUUGUAGAAAAAGAAAAAUAGUUUUCCAUAACGGUUGUUUGGUUGAAAGGAAAAAAAAAUAGAUAAAAAACUAUUAAAUAUAUUUUUUUAUUAUAUAUAUUAUUAAUAUAUAAUAAUUAAUAUACCAUAUAUAUUAUCAUUAUAAUUUCUAUAUAUAGAUUAAAUAUAUUUAAAAUAAUAAUAAACAUAUAGUUAUAUAUUUUGAGAUAUUAAUAAAUAUAUUACAUAUUUAUGGCUGUUUGUUUGAAAGAAAAAAAAAAUAUAAAACUAUUAUAUUUUAUUAUUCUUAUAUAUAUAUUAUAUAUUAUUAAUAUGCAAUAAUUAUUAAUACUAUAUAUAUUAUUAUUAUAGUUUUUUAAUAAAUAAAUAUAUUCAAAAUAUAUUAUAUAAUAAGUAUAUAAUAUAAUAUAUAAUAGUAUAUUAUAUUUAGUACUAUAAAAUAAAUCACUAUUUAAAAAUAAUAUAUAUAUAGAUAUGCAUGCACACACAUAAUGAAUGAGGGAGAGAGAGUCCACGGGUCCAGCUCCCUCGUGGAUUCUUCCUCACGUGGUCCACGAGGUGAAGUUCACAUUGUGGACCGCGUGUUAACACAGCCAUGAGCCGCGAUUUUUCCCCGCGAGCUUUUCGUUUUCCGCUCGAAGCGAGCGGAAAACGAAAACGCUUCGUUUUCCGCUCGCUUUGAGCGGAAAACGAAAACGCUUCGUUUUCUAAGUAUCUAUAAAAGAAAUUUUCCAGGAAAAUUUUUACAGACAACCAAACAACAAAAAAUAUUUUUUCAACGAAAAAUUUCUUUUCGGAGCGGUUUUACGAGGAUCCAAACACGCCCUAAAAGAAUUUCUGCAAUAUAAAAGCUGUGAUGGUGAAGAACUGUCAUAAAUUCUGAAAUUUUUUAGUCACAGCAUGCAUAACUUGGAUAAGGCUUUUAGCUUAUGGAUAUGCUCAAGGGCAAGUACAUUUCAUCCUGGAAGCAUCGUAGCUCUUUACAGAUGUUUUAUUUCCUUUUCCUGUUAAUUUGUUUCAGAUGAAUAAUUAUUUUAGGAGAUAAAAUAUUUACCUUCCUCCAAUUUGGACAGGAUUCGGUUUCACUACGGUCAUCCAGAUGUGUUUGAUAGGAUCUUUCAUAUCACAAGGGGUGGCAUUAGCAAGGCUUCACGUGGAAUCAAUCUAAGCGAGGAUAUAUUUGCAGGUAAAAUUGUUUCCUAUCAUUUCUCUUAGCUCCAAUGCUAAUGCCUAUAUAAACUGAGCAUGACAUGUCUUUCAGGUUUCAACUCGACGCUAAGGCGUGGAAAUGUCACACACCAUGAGUACAUCCAGGUGGGCAAAGGCCGUGAUGUUGGCCUCAACCAAAUUUCGCUCUUUGAAGCGAAAGUGGCCUGCGGCAAUGGAGAGCAAAUACUAAGUAGAGAUAUCUAUCGUUUGGGUCAUCGCUUUGACUUCUUCCGAAUGCUAUCAUGCUACUUUACAACCGUUGGAUUCUACAUCAGCUCAAUGGUAAGAACUAUUCUUCUUUUCUAAAGUUAUUAGAGAACCCUAACAGGUACUUUGCAAUUCCUUGAUUACUUCUUAUCCAUUGUCUUACUUUUUGUUCAAUAUGCAGAUGGUUGUCAUUAUUGUUUACCUAUUCCUAUACGGAAGGCUCUACUUAUCAUUGAGCGGAUUGGAAAGUGCGAUAAUGAAGCAAGCGAGGAAAAGGGGCAACGUUGCUCUUGAGGCGGCCAUGGCGUCCCAAUCAGUUGUCCAGAUGGGUCUACUAAUGGCCCUACCUAUGUUUAUGGAGAUUGGGCUUGAAAGAGGGUUCAGAUCUGCCUUGGGAGACUUCGUCAUCAUGCAGCUCCAGCUCUGCUCGGUGUUCUUCACCUUCUCCCUCGGAACAAAGUCUCACUACUUUGGACGGACUGUCUUACAUGGCGGUGCAAAGUACAGAGCCACAGGACGAGGCUUUGUGGUCCGGCACGUGAAGUUUGCAGAGAACUAUAGAAUGUAUUCAAGAAGCCAUUUCGUCAAGGGGAUUGAACUGAUGGUACUGCUUAUAGUUUAUGAGAUAUACGGUGCCUCCGCCACAGAUUCAACCUCCUAUAUACUGCUUACAUUCUCGAUGUGGUUCUUGGUGGCCACGUGGCUGUUCGCUCCAUUCCUUUUCAACCCGUCAGGUUUCGAGUGGCAGAAGAUAGUUGAGGAUUGGGAUGAUUGGACGAAAUGGAUAAGCAGUCGGGGUGGGAUUGGUGUGCCGGCGAACAAGAGCUGGGAGUCAUGGUGGGACGAGGAGCAGGAGCACUUGCAGUCCACAGGGUUCUUGGGACGUUUCUGGGAGAUUGUCCUCUCGCUGCGUUUCUUCCUGUUCCAGUAUGGUAUUGUGUAUCGCCUGCAUAUCUCCAAUGGCAACAAAAGCAUCAUGGCAAGUCCUCAACUUGAUUUCUUAACUCGUUUGUUCACAAGUCUAGUUUCAAGCAUGUAGCAUGUCCUUUUCCUGGUUUCCGUAUGCUCUGCUUUCCAAUCUCAUGGACUAAAUACAAUCACGUCCAUAUUAAGAAUGCCAAAAUUGUCGAACUUGUGGACAGGUUUAUGGUCUUUCAUGGCUGGUGAUUGUUGCAGUGAUGCUAGUUUUGAAGGUCAGUAUUUCUUUUCUUUUGAUUUAGCGGUUGGACUACCAACGAAACCACACCACUCAUUGUAUCUAUUCCAUCCUUUCCUUGUUUUUUAUAUUGCUUUCAUUGGAUCUUCUUGUGCAGGUGGUGUCCAUGGGCAGGAAGAAGUUCAGUGCCGAUUUCCAGCUAAUGUUCCGGCUUCUCAAGCUGUUCUUGUUCAUCGGAUCUGUCGGAACUCUGGGCAUCCUCUUCACUCUUCUUAAUCUAACCAUAAGCGACAUCUUUGCCAGCUUCCUAGCAUUUGUACCCACAGGAUGGGCUCUUCUACAGGUAUUCUUUUGUUUCUUCCUACUUUCUAAUAUCAGCUGAGCUGGAGUCCAAGUUAGUCAGAAUAAGAGCAGAUAUUAGCUCCUACUAAUUAAACUGUCUUAUAUGUGAAGGUGGUUUUCUCUCAUUAUUUUCCUUCUAAUUUACGGACUUACAAGCUUUAAUCCUGUAUGAUGCAGGGUGAAAGAGAGUAUAUUUUCAUAAAUAAAAAAAUUAGGAAGGUUGUGUAGAUGUGAGUUAAAGAUAAGCAAGAAUGAGGGAGAUUGUGUAGAUAAGCCGUGAAGCAUGUUCUCUUAAACGGAAGAUAUGAUAAGAGAGAGAUUGGUAGAUUCUGUAGUAAGGAAGCUUUUAAAGAUCAAAAAAUAGCGGCAGACAUGUUACAGAUGUCGUCAAUCGUUUCCUGCGGAACUCCUUAGCUUAGUAUUUACUUUAUAGUGUAGCUACCAAAAAUUGAUAUACAUUAUAUCUCUGGGAGCAGAUAACGCAAGCAUGCAGGCCAGCUAUCAAGGCGUUUGGCCUGUGGGGGUCAGUCAAGGCGCUGGCAAGGGGUUACGAGUACAUAAUGGGGCUGGUGAUCUUCGCCCCAGUCGCGGUGCUGGCAUGGUUCCCCUUCGUCUCCGAGUUCCAGACGCGGCUGCUGUUCAACCAGGCCUUCAGCCGAGGCCUGCAGAUCUCCCGUAUCCUCGCCGGCGGGAAGAAGCGGAACUGAGCACGGAGAGCGGAGAAACCCGAGUGAGAGACCCCCCGGAGAAAACGGAAGAGAGAAGAGAGAUAUGCACUGAGGGCCGCUGCGGAGGAGAGACUUCUUCCUCUCCUAAUUUUGGUCGUGGUCAAAAUGUAGUAAAAGCAUUUUUUUUACUUUCCUGCUGAUAGCUUGAGUGGUUAUAGCAUUGUGGCCUUCUGCUGUAGUCUUUCAUUCCUUGCUCCUUGUUGUUUGCUUGUGAUCUUUUGUAACACCACUACAAAAUAUUAAAAGGGGAUAUCAAUUUGAUAUCUGUCUGAUAAAUAAAAAUACCUAUUCUUUUCUGUUUUUGUAAGCUGUGCACCAACCUAUGCAAUCCAGCAGGUAUAAAUGAGUGGUAGGCUCUGUUCCUGAUCCUAAUAAUCAAGUAGCCUACUCAGCAGGGACUUCUAUGAUAAUUGUCGUAUGUUCGAGCGUGACUCCAAACAUUUUGAUGGCGCAAAGUGGCAAGGGCAAUCGAAUGCUGCUAUCGGUGACAAGUCAUGGCCACACUUAAUGCCUUUUCCUUCUCACAAUUGCGAUGCUGCAUGCGAUCCGAUGUUACUCUUUAUGCAACCAUGAACCAAUAUUCUCAUAACAGGAAUUUCUUUUAGCCAUCUUACAGUGAACACUUUGCCUGUUAAUUAUUACAAUCGCAAGAUUCAAUAGUUACCAGUCAGAGCAGGAAAAUCGAACAACGUAUUGCAUGCAACCAAUUCUAUCUAUCAGCUUUACUCUGGGCAUAUUUGCUACCGUAAAUUUCAUAGUUGUCGAUUGCAAAUAAGCACUGAAAAACAAAUGUCCUCGACAGUCGACUAGAUGGAUUACUGUUGCUAAGGUUAAAGAGAGUGAAGUUCAUGUGGAAUAGCAAAAGAUGGCAGAGACAACAGCUUGAGAGGAUCUCACAGAUUUUACAACAUUUUACAGGCAAUUAACUAACUCCUAGAUACUUCACAAGCAUCAUCAAGAUGAAGCUCUUACGCCACCCAAUCCAGUGGCACCAGAUGUUCAUCCGCCCAAAACACAAACCUGGAAAAAAAAGAGGUGAUGUAAUAAUUAACACUGCAAUGAAUGGAUGCAACUUCUGAUCUGUAGAUGCGCUGAAAAAAAUGUUUCUUCUGGUCCACAACAUUUACCAGUGACAUGAAGGGUACUGAUAUCACAAGAUACCAUCAUCACCUCCAUCUCCAGAUUCUGAAGAAUAGGCCAGUAAGGGGUAUUAGAACGAAAAGUACUGCUUGUUGUUAUUAAGCGACUGAAAUAGUUGCGUACCAUGGAUUGCUGCCAAGUUUUCUUCUUUGUACACCCCGAGGGGCGAGCCAUGCACAGAUAACAACAUCUCACCAUUCUUGGGCAACCUUGUAGUUUUUGGUGUCAUGCCGAAUGAUAGGCGAGCACUCAUGGCCUGCAAAAAAAACAAAAAGGCAUAUCAUGAAAGAAAAGGGACAAUUUUGGAAAAAAAAAAGAAGAUGGGACUAGUUUCAUCAUUUAUCGUGAAAUCGCACACGUUGGGAAGAGAAGAAGAAAAAAGUACAAAGCAUCCAAUACAAAUAUAACCUGCUCUGUUUCAGUGACUUAGAUUCUGCACAAGGGUUGUACUUGCGCAUCAUUUAUAAGAAUAUUACUCACCAUGUUAAAGCAUCUAUUAGUAAAUAGUAGCAAAUAACAAUUGUGAUCAAGAGAAUACAAACCCCAGGAGUCUGUACAGCGUCUUUUGCCGCCCUUGCCAUCAGAUCUUCGGUUGAUUCAUCCAAAGCCUGAAGAUCCACGGCACAUUUACCGCGCUAUAAGAUGAUUGAAGGAAAUACCCAUAAUCUCUAAAAUCAUCAAAUUAGAAAGAAAAAUUCGUACAAAAUCAGGAAUUUGCAAGUUUGCAGACUCCAAGAAGCUCUUCUUCACUGCAACAAAGGGAGAAGCUUUUACAUAAAUGACGAGACCAAAAUCGAAUGAUCAUUCUCGAAAAACAAAGUUCUCAACCUGAGUUUGCUGAAAACUGGAGGCCAGCAGUAGCAGGCAACGUGGCAGCAUACCCGAGUGAAGUGCGCAUGUUUACAUCGUCUCUACAGUUCCCGGGCAUGUAACUCUCUUUGCAAUUCCAAUUCAACUCAAAUACCUUAUACUUUUCGUUUCUUGUGACUGAUAAAUUGGGCAAAUUCUCCUGGAAAAACUCUAAUGCUGGUUUCUCUAGUUGCUCAUUGCUGAUGUACGACCGCACCAACCGCAACCGAGAGAGCAAGUUCUCAGUCUCUGCCACUCGAAUAGCUUGGAUUGCAGCGAUUCGACGAUCAACUAGUCAGAUAAGAAGAAAAGGUGUUAUCUUUAAAAUGUUCACUCUAUAUUAAUUAUUAGCAUCUUUAAGGAUAUGAACUGAUCACAUGAAAGAGUAUACUCUACACAUGUAAUCACACCGUCGAACAUUGAAUUGAUUCUACAUAUUAAUUGCUGAAACUAUAAGGUGAGUAAAAAAACCCAUUUUUAGGGUUUUGAAACAUGCUAUUUUCAAUGCACAUAUCAAAAAAAUUUCCCCCCCCCAAAAAAAAAAAACAAAAAUGAAGAAUAGAGAAUAGGAACCCUAAAUCUAAUAAGGAAAUAAAGAUAAGCAUUAAACGAUACAAAAGUGAUGGGUUUUAACAUAUUGGUGUGAUCUUAUGAUGUCACUUCAUUGUUGAAUCUAUAAAGGGAGUAAAAAUCCCGUUUUUAAGAUUUUGAACAAGGUUUUUUCGAUUCACAUGUCAAAAUAAUUCCAAAAAAAGAGCACAAGAAAAGAGAAAUUAAAGAGAAUAGAAACCCUAGAUCACUCGACCAAAAUCACGAGGCUAGUAGCCGAACCGAUCCACGGGGAGAGUCGACAAAAUUCGCAAAAUUGAUCGCGAAGAAGAGGAUCAGAUCUACCUUCGCGCUCGUUGAACGAUCUCUGGCGCUCCUCGAACCGGGCGGCGCCAACUCCGCCACCGCCACCGAGUUCUUCGCCCCCGCCGGGUUUCGGCUUCUGCGGCGACGACUCUGCCACGGAUCGCUUCCUCGCCCUCCUCCCCAUCCCCACAACCUCUAUCUCUCUCUCUCUCUCUCUCACACACACACACACACACACACACAGGGGAGAGAGUUUGGGGAUUGGGAUAGAGAGAGAGAGAGAAGAGAGAGAGAGAGAGAGAGAGAGAGAGGGAAAGGAGAGAGUUUGGGAAUUGGGAUGGGGAGAAGCGAAACCUCGAUUUGAAUAGAGCGUGGGUGGCGGGAUCGGGAAAUCGGAUCCGGAUCCGGAUCCGCGUACACGACCAAUCCGAUAAGAGUUGGGGAGAGAGAGAGAUGUUUGGUUUGGCAUAAAACUAUUAAAAAAAACACGUGUUUGGUUCGUAGGAAAUUUAUUUUUCACUUUUAUUAUUUAAUUAUAUAAAUUUUUUUUAAUUUUUAUUUAAAUUUUAAAAAUUUAAAUAUAUUUUACUUUUAUGUAAAAUCUGUAAAAAAAAUAUUUACGCAAAAAACAUUUUACGAGUCUCUACACACUCGAUAUUUUAAUAAGUCAGCUCGAGUUCAGCUCGUUUCAUAAACGAGCGAACACGAGCCGUCCACCAGCUCGCUUGCAUUCGGCUCAUUGACAACCCUAUCUAAGGAUGUGCACGGUUUAGUCCAAACCGACACACUAAACCGAAUAGAGUCAACGAACUCAACUGCACUAUUGUCAAUGUUUGUGGCCAGAGCUAGUUAGUGUUGCGCACGAUAUAGCUUAAACCGGAUCACCAGAGCUGUACCAAACUGAACCGAACCGAAUCAAACUAGGUGAAUUAACCGCACUAGUCAUAGUGUUUGGUUUCGGGGCUAUCUAGGGGUGCGCACUAUUCGGUUUCGUAUUUAAAGUUCCAUAAUUUUCUACACACAAUGAAUCUGGUCACGAAAAGAAGAUAAGUACUACUGCUACCACCACCACCACCACCAUGACCAUACAUUUCUACUGUUGAUAGCAACAAUGCAAGCUGCAGUAUUUAAAGAAGUGAUUUGGAUUUAAGAGGCAAACAUAAAGGUCCCACAAAAUAAAUUUUUCCAAAAUAAUGCAUCAUAGCAAAUACUUUUUUUUUUUGCCCUUUAAUGUUGGCCUAAUUAUGGCCACUAACCCAUGUCCAAAGUGUUUCUUAGUUGAAAAGUUCUUUGUAAAUUUAAGGGUAAGUUACUCUUUUGGUCUGCAGACAAUAAGACGUGUGACAUUUUAGUCCUCAAAUUUUAAUUUAUUGUGAUUUCUAGUUUGAACAUUUUAAAUUAUUAGAAUAAAGUCCAAUGAUCUAAUUUAAUUACUAAAUAUUGACAGGUUGUCUAUGUAAAAGUGAUUUGACAUCUUACUUAUUGUCACAUUAUCCAUCACAAUUUAAUUUAGUUGGAAGACUUAGAUUAUAAUAAUUCAGAAAGUUCGAGCUAGAAAUUGCAACAGAUUAAAGCUUGAGGACCAAAGUCUAAUGCGUCAUAGUUUGAGGACCAAAGUUUAAUUUAUCCUAAAUUUAAAUAACAAUUAAAUUAGGCAGUAAAAGUACCAAUUAAUCUAAUAAGCAAUUGGAAACACAUUGAAUUACUCUUUCCAUACAUAAUCUAAAAUAUCCGAAAUUAUUAAAUUUUUAUGUAAGUUGGUAUUUGUGUGUAUAUUCUCAAAAACCUUAUUUAUUUGUGCAUGAGACUAAAUCAAAGUGGUUAGUUUUUUUCCUUAGUUGUUUACUUCCUCUAACAUUCUAUUCUUGUUGAGUUGUUGCUUGAAAUAGUGUUUGUGUAUAAAUAGAGGGAGUAGUUUUGGUGGUGUCUCCAGUUGCUUCCAUGGAGGAUUAAAAGAAAUGAAAAGAUCAAAGAAAAUGAUGUAAUAAGCUUCCAAUAUAAAAGGAUUUUUGAGUGAAAGUUGUUAUGAAAAAAAUCCCAUCAAAAUUUUCUCUUAAAUGAAUACGUCGACGGCAUUUUUCUCAUAGCGAAAACAAAAGCUUUUAUUUGGAACAUCUGCUUUCGAAGCCGAGAAGAUCGUCGUAUCAGCUUUCGCGAAACGCUUAUGCAGAGAAGUCGCUCUAAAAGCAAAGUAAAGAGUGUUUAUCUGAUAUCCUUUAAGACAAACUAAUUCUUGUAACCACAAUUCAUAAUAGAGCGAAAAGUUUGUAACCACUUCUUGUUCCAGCAUCCAAGAUUGAUUUGGCUUGCAAAUACCAAAUAUGUUGAAAGACACAAGGGACCAAAAACCAGGGAAAUAAUCCAGUUCAGAAUCAGUUCAGAUAUUUCUCAUCCAAAAUGUUGUGACAUUAAAAUUUCCCAGUGAGAUACAAUAUAGUUGCUGAAUUCGACAUGUUCGAAAGGCUAACUAAAGAUCCGAAACAUCUUCUACGGAAAAGCAACAAAAUAUUACAAUAAGAGAUGGUGAUAAACCUCACGGUUUCUUCACGUAUGACUCGACGUUCUUCAACCACCGAAGUAGCUCCGUCCGGUCCUUGUUUGCCAUGGAGUCGUGCAGAAAAGCAGCGAGCUCGUCGUUUACUCCCCUCUCCUCCAAGUAAUCCCGCACGGCUUCCUGCAUCUCCUCGUCCAACUCCCUGUCCAACCAGCCAUUAAGUCGAUUACCGUGAAUUACUAAAACGCCUGUUUGGCCUGGCUGGAGCUUCCGUAAAACUUUUAUUUGUAUAAAAUUGUUACAAGAAGCAUUAAACUGUUUAGGGCCUAUUUGGGUGUAGCUGUUCGAAUAAGCACUAACAGCUUUCCAUUAAGCGGCACCCAACAGCUUCCGCUGCAUCAGCUUCAGUUUCUGAGUUUCAAACCUCAUUUUCACUUUGUAAAAAAGCAAAAGUCGCAACAUUUUUUUCCUUGUCAAAUACAUAAGUACUGCUCUUGGGAGUAGAGAAGUAGCUCAGAAGGCAAGCUGAACACUUAGUUAAAAUUCUUCCAACAGCAAAAGCUCAUUUCUGCCUUCUAAAAGCGAAAAAGUUGUAAUUUCUUUUGCUUCUCAAAUACUUAAGGUAAAAGUGUACAGAACCUACCUAAACUAUGAAUCAUUUGAAUCGACCAACAACACUUUUGACUUCAAAACUUAAGCUAAUUACUUACGAUAAUGAAUUUGUAAUUGUGUGAAUUGCAUGAAGUACACCGGUUAAACAGCAUUCAAAUUUUUAAAGUCAAAACCAAAAUGAUUCAUAGUUCAGGUAAAUUCUACACGUUUUUACCAAUACGUAACCGGUGCUCUAAAAAUUCCUCCGACAGCAGCUGUUCCAAAAGCCAAGCCAAAUAAGCACUGAAUAUGAAAGAGAAACAACGAAUUCGAAUUCAAAUUCCGAUUCCAAUUCCGAUUCCAAUUACUUGAAAUCCGGCCCGGUGUAAGGCCUAAUGGGCGCGGGGCCGCAGCGGCGGACGGGGAACACCUUCUCCACAUCGACGGAAUCGGGCCACGCCGAGCACACGAACUGUAGAACGGAUCCCGAUCCCUCCUCCCCCUUCGACACCUCCACGAGAAGGCUAAUGUGGAGGCGAGCAUCGCCGUCCUCAACCGCUCCCCCCGAUCUCUUCGCCGGAGCCGCCCCAUCGAACAUGGUAGCAUCGAUCUUAACCUCCUCCUCGCCCCCGCGGCGCUUCCGCACCAGCCGAAUCCACUGCUCCCCGGGGCGAUCGUCGACCGAGAACAGGUCGAACCUCGCCGCAGCCGCCGCCGCCUAUGGCGAAGCAUCGGAAGGUGAGAAUUGGACUACGCAAGGGUUAGGGUUUUGUAGAGGAGGUGAGGGGCGUUACCGGGUUGGGGGGGCGGGAUUCGGACUCGUAGGCGAUCUCGGUGCGGAGGAUGCGGAGGAGGUUCUCUUUGAAGGCGGAGCGGCGCAUCUCGGAGAUGUAGGAGCGGGAGGAGGAGGAGGAGGAGGAGGAGGAGGAGGGGCGCGGAGGAGGAGGAGUUAGGGUUAGGGUUUUGAGGCGGAGGAGGCGUCGAGAGGAGGAGACGAAGCGAGCCAUGGGGGGGCGCGAAGAGGAGAAAUGGAGAUGAAGGGUUUAGCGAGGGUUUUGGGACGAUGAUCGAAUCGAGUCGUUUACUUGGGUUUAAAGCGAUUUCCCCCCUCACCGUACCAAAAUCAAAAAGUCAAAAUUGGAGUAAAUAUCUAUUUUUGUUGAUUUAUUCACCGUAACUUAUUUUCGAUUGAAACUUAAACUCUUUAAAAUAAUAGAGAAAAUUUCAAAUAUUACUAUUGUAAUUUCAUUUUUUUUUUAUUUUAGUAUUAUGUGGUUUAAAGUGUAUUACUUUCGUACCUUAUGAUUAUUUUUUUUCCUUUUUGUUAUUCUCUCUAUUAAUAUUUUUGUUAAAUCAGUAAUAAAGUUAAAACUAAAGGUACUAAAGUGAAUAUUUAAUAAACUAUUGGUGGGGCAUCUGAAGUUUUUUUGUAUAUAAUUUAAUAAAAAGUUAAUGAAAGGACUGACGAAAAAAAAAAAAAAAAAUCAUAUGGUACUAAAUUGAUACAUUUUAAACCAUAUGAUACUAAAGUAAAAAAAUAUGAAACCAUAAUAGGGGUAAUUGAAGUUUACCCAAAAUAUUAUAAUUCACUUCGGACCAUCUCUCGCCGAGGUCAAUUAUGAAAUAAAAUAUAAAAAAAAAUAAUAAAUUAUUGACUCAUCUCUCACACCUCUAAGUAUUUACUUUUCGCCAAAUAAAUAGCAAAAUUGAAAAUAAAUGUCGCAAAAGUUGAAAUAUAAAAUUUAAAAUUUGAGUUUAAAAUUAGAACCGGAUUUUAAAGAAAUAGGUUUUAGCUGUUUCUGAUUUUGAGUCCCUAAAAUUAAAAAAACAGACUCUAAAAAUCAUAAUCAUAUUUUAAAAAAUAAAUUACCAAACGUUCUAUUUGAGUAAAAAUGACUUAUGGCCUUAAAAUUACUUUUCAGAAUUUAGACCAAACAGGCACUUAUUAAACUGACACUAAUAUUUCAGACCAAGGAUGCCCGAUUUGAGAAGAAUACAAAAUCCAAGGUUAUAUAUGUCUGUGUAUACAUUGAGCAAAUAAAAUAAAAUUUAAAUUUUUUUAAUAAUGCUAUUUUAUGUCAUUACCUACAGGCUAGGUAAUGAAAUCCAAGAGAUUUAGGCUUCGUUUGGGAUUGCGGGGAGAUUGCGUUACGUACAGUGAAAAAGUAUGAUGAAAAAAUAUUUUGUUUUGUUUCUGUAUUUAAUAUUGCGUUCCGCAUAUUAUGAUGAGUCGGUUAUAAUAUAUUUUAUUCAGUCCUAUCGGAGAAUGGAGAAAUAUUAUCUCUAUAUACUUUUUUCCUAACUCUAUUUUAUUUAAUAGCGUCAUAUAGAUUUCAAUACCAAACUAAGUCUUAUUAAAGGUCCUAAGUUAGAGCCUAGCAACUGGGAAUGCCUACAGGCUACAAACUUUGUUAUUUUUUGGCUAAAUUAUAAAAAACCCUCCUGUAAUAACCCGCUUUUUCACUUUUCCCUCCUGACAUUUAAAAGCCUACACUUUAUCCUCUUGUAAAAUAAAAAAUGUUCACAGGGAGUUACGGUGUGUAAAAUGACCAUUUUGUCUCUCGUCAUUUUCGUCUUCUUCCUCAUCUUCCUCAGCCGCCCCUUCGAUCAACCGCGAUUCUCACCUCAAUCGGCCGCGAUUUCUCUCCAUUUCAUUCUCUACCUACUCCCCUUCUCCUCCUGCACCCUCGCCGCCCCUCGAUUUCAACAAUAGUAGGGAGGAAAUCGAGGUGGGUGUUGAUGGAGAGGUAGGCAAGGGCAACGAGGGCGAAGGCGAGGCGGCGGAGGAGGGCGAAGGGGAUGUGGGCGAGGGCGAGGCAGUGGAGGACGGCGAGGCGGCGAGCCGGAGGGAGGCGAAGCAACAAGGAAGAGGGCGGAAGGGUAUUUUCGGCAUAAAAAAAUAUUUUAUAACGGAACCCUAACGGUAGGGGGUGAAGUGCAUAUUUUUUAUUUUACAAGGGGGCAAAGUGUAGGUUUUUAAAUAUUAUGGGGGGAAAGUAAAAAAGUGGGUUAUUAUAUGGGUUUUUUCUGUAAUUUUGCCUUAUUUUUUGUUUCUAAAGAAAUCUCACUUUUAUUAAUUUAUUGAAAAACAUAUGAUCUUGCCAACAUAUAGAUCGUAAGUCAGAAGCUGAAGAGAUCUCAUUACCUUUAACCACCAAAUCCCCAAAAUAUAACAAAAGAAUAACUCAUAACCUUUUAUUCCAUUUGUAGCUUCUGUGACAAUGUAACUCUCACAUGAGAACACAACAUGGAGACAUCAUAGCCCCCAUAUAUAGGUAUCCUCCAUUCCCUCUUCCUUUCCUUGGGAUUCACUUCUCCAUCAACAACAUUCUCUACUCUCUUUCGAUAAGCUCAUGUUUAAUUUUGUACAUCUCGAAAAUUAAACUUGCGAUUUUGAAAAGGGGGUGGCGAAGGCGAAUUCGCGGAACUUGUAAGUUCAUGGCUUUAAAGUCGGUGCCGAGUCUUUAAUAAAGGGGGACUAGAUAAGAAGUCGGCGACGACACUGCACAAACAUAGUGGACGCCGCCGACAUCUAUGUAUGAAUUUAGCUGGGGCGGGUAACGGUCAAAAGCCUGCAAUGAGGGGAUGGCAUUUUGGUAAAUAAGAAACUAAUCGAGGGGCGUUUCGGGAGGCGCAACGAACCGUCUGAGAAUCGUAGGACACCGUAGUAUUAUUACUACUACGAGCCUCUCCCUACACACACACACACACACACACACACUCGAGUGGUGCGACGGAGACGAAGAAGCCGAGGGCGAUCUCAAACCCUCGCCGCCCCCGAUCUGCUACGCCGCCGCCGCUGCUCCGCCGUGCCGUCGCCGGAGACGAUGAUGUUCAUAAGAGGGCUCUCCGGGAAGCGGCGGUCGGGGGCGGCGCCGGUGUACCUCAACGUCUACGACCUCACCCCGAUCAACGGCUACGCGUACUGGCUAGGGCUCGGCGUGUACCACUCCGGCGUGCAAGGUGAGAUCGUGCGCCAUCCCCUUCGUAUUCUUCGCCGAUCUAGGGUUUUUGGGGCGUGAUCGGGAUCGAGGGUUAGGGUUUGGGGGUGUUUUUUUUCUUUUUUUGGGCGCAGUGCACGGGGUGGAGUACGCGUACGGGGCGCACGAGCACCCGACGACGGGGAUCUUCGAGGGGGAGCCGCGGCAGUGCCCGGGGUUCCGGUUCCGGAGGUCGAUCCUGAUCGGGCGCACGGAUCUGGGCCCGCGCGAGGUGCGGGCGCUCAUGGAGGAGCUCGCCGCGGAGUACACGGGCGACACCUACAACCUCAUCUCCAAGAACUGCAACCACUUCUGCGACGACGCGUGCCUCCGCCUCGCCUCCAAGCCCAUCCCCAAAUGGGUCAAUCGCCUCGCCAAGAUCGGUACGUACGUACGUAAAACCCUAGCAUCGAUCACGAUCUCGAUCUCGAUCUCGAUCUCGACUCUUUUCCUAGGGUUUCUGAUACCGGAUUUUGGGGUCGAUCAGGGUUUCUGUGCAAGUGCGUGUUACCGGUGCACGUGGCGGCGGUGCGGCGGAGGGGCGAGGAGGAGCUGGGCAAGGGGGAGAGGGCGAGGCUGCGGAGCAACUCCACCAGGUACCCUUCCGCCGCGCCGGCGCCGCCCACCGCCGCCGCCGCGUCCUCGGCGGCCCAUCUCUCGUCGCUCUCCGUGGGGACUAGAAGCGUUCGAAGGAUUCGUCGCUCGUUCUCGUCCUCGUCGGCGUCGACGACGACGAAGGCCACGCUCGUCGGGAUCGCCUCCUUUAAACCCUAAUCCCACGGCGGCGGCGGCGCCGCUCCUCGUCGGCGGCGAUUUUUUGGGGCAAAAUCCCCGACUCAAAAAAAAAAAGGAAUCCCAUUUUUUUCCAUUUUUUCAAAAAAAAAAAUCUGGAUUGUUUUUCCUUUUUUUUAUUAUUUUGUUUUUUUUAAAAAAAUUUGGGAUCUUCGGAUUUGAAACGGUUGGAAUUGAAUGCGAGCAGGUGCGGUUUGUCUCCCUCUGUACGGCGAUUAAAAAAAAAAAGAAUAUCUUUUUUUCAAAAUUUUUAAAUACUUUUUCGAAUUCAAUUUUUUUCCCUUUUUACAGGGGCGCACGAAUUCUUCGGUGGGCCCGGUGUUUGGUGUUUCGCACGAUGCGUGUCCUCGUUCUGAGCGGCCGUGUUUCCGUCGCCGCAAACUCGUGGGGGAGAAGUUGGUGAGCGACACGUGGUGGACCGGGCGUACAUUUACGGUGCGUGCCCUUUCGUGCUCUUCGCUAUAAAAGUAUUUUUCCUAGACCGCUCUAGUAGACCGGGCUCAUCAAAACGCUACACGAUGUGAUUGAUUGAUUGAUUUGAUUAGAAAUUAGAAAUUUUCGACAAAUCCCACUUACGUGGAACCAUGUGAUAGAUUGGUUGUGUUUAAAUUGAUUGAUUUGAUUAAAAAAUUAAGGAAAAUUGCCCUAAUUGUAAAAAUCAGAGGAACUAGAGUUUCUAGAAAGGGGAGAGUUUAAUAAAACUAGCUCUUUUAUUCUGUGUUAUCAACAAAUUAAUCAAAUAGAUUGGUAAGAGAGUUUAGAAUUAGUUAUGCUAUAUUAUCUAAGCCACCGUUUGGUUGGGGGUUAAGGGGUGGAAUAACCCCUUAACCCCCAAUUUAUACCCAAACACUACUCUUUUGGGGUGGGGUUAGUAAACCCCACCCCAAACCGGGUUAGUGGGGUUUACUAACCUCACUCCUCCUCCCAACUUUAACCCCGCACGCAUUCCGAGCCCUCACCUAUUUCUUAUUUAUCAAUCAUUAACCCCACUCCCCCUUCCAACUUUAACCACGCACGCAUCCCGAGCUCUUACAUUUUUCUUCUUUAUCAAUCAUUAUUUUCUUAUCCCACCUACUCCAACCAAACACUUUUUUUCACUAUCCUAGACUAACUUCAACCUCCAACCAAACACAAAAAAAUUUUAACACCAUUUUAACCCUGAACUUAACCCUAUCCCUGAAAUAGCUACUUUUUCUUAACCCCGAACCAAACGGGGGCUAAAAGAUUGAUUUAGUAUGAAUCAGUAUAAACACUAGUAAGUUGAAUGAUGGAAUUGAAAAUAUAAGAUGAAAUAUAUGACAUCUUUUCCUAGUGAUGCUUUGAUUCUGUUAGAUAAGUUUAGGUAAAAAUGUGUAAAAUUUACUUCAAC
rnacentral:lncRNA from 1 species